CAGCAGGUAUCUGAUCAUGGGUUAGCUUCGGGUCGCUUGUGGCGUUAAGCAUUGUGUCACGACUAGGGGGUAGCCUCAGGAUGUGACAAAACUUGGUAUCAGAGCCUAAGAUUUUAAAGUGUCCUAGGGUGUUAGAAAGCCACGUUGAGUAGAGUCUUGUGCAUAGGUGUGAAGCAUGCCACACUUAUGGACAAGAGGCUAUAAGAGGUUUUUAGGAAAGUUUCCAUUCUUUCAGUAUUCAUGUCAUGCGAAAGAGCAUGACCUCCAUUGAAUUCCCUUUUCUAACUCAUUUUUCACUUUACUUACAGAAAAUACCUCUCAGAAGAAAUAGUAAAAGAAAAAAGGGGGAUUAACCCACACCACCUGUUCAGGAAGAUCUCCUGAACGACUAUGCUUCCAACAUUGAGUUCAGGGCCGUUUUCAUGGCUUUGGCCCAUUUAGUAUCUACCCAGACUAACCAGUAGACUAUUACUCUAGCCAAUCUAAUAAUAAAUACAAUUACAUCAAGGAUCCAAGACUUCACUCGAAUGAACCCUCUUUUGUUUUCAAGAUCUAAGUCUGAAGAGGAUCCACAUGAGUUUCUAAAUGGGGUGUAGAAAGUGAAAGACAUCAUGGGUGUCACUUCUAGUGAGAGUGCAGACUUAGCUAUGUAUCAGUUGUAGGGAGUAGCUAAUACCUGGUUUAAGCAGUGGAAGGAAGAUAGAGGUAUUGAGGUUGGACCUACAGAGUGUGUAAGGCCCACCAAAAUUUCUAAGCUUAAUUUAGUCCUUUAAGCUUUUCAAGGGGUCCCAAACUUAAAAAAAACUCUAGCUAAGUUCCCAUACUUAGCUUAUUUUUGGCCUUCGAAAGUUGGCAAUCUCAUUUUGCCACCUUAAUGUCCUUUGAUGGUCCGUAUGUUUGUUAAUUCAUUAUCAGAGAGGUCAAUAGGUUUUCCCAGACAAGUUUUGGAUUUUUUAGACCUUGAUUAGACCACAUUUGGUGUCCCAAAAUAGUGGACCAAUGUGAUCGUGGCGUGCCACAUCACCCAUCACGUUGGUUAACAUUGUUGCAGGGACUGCCAAUGAAACUAUUGGGGCUUAGCGCGAUCAUGGUGCGAUGCAUUGGGUAUCGUGUCGAUUCCCAAUUUUAGUCAUUAAAUGUCUGCAUUUUUAAGGGCAAAAGGGUUAAAUUCCCACCCCUAUAUAAACCCAAUAAUAUGUAAUUCAGCCAUUUUCACCCAAAAUAUACUAGUUUCUCUCAAUUUUUCUCAAGAACAAGUUUAGGGUUUUCAAUUGGGGAUUCAAAUUCAAGGAAAUUCCACCGUCAAACUUCGUAGAAUCAAGAACUAAGGUAUGCAUAGUGUUCAUUCAUGGAUUCCUCCCAUCCAUAAAGUUCAAGAAUCAAGUUUUAAAUCUUCUAUUGUGAAUAUUUUGUUGUGGGUUGAUUAUGUUCAUGAGAUUAUGAUGAUGUGAUUCCUAAGAUGGAAUAUUUAUGUGUUGUUCAUGAAACUAUGUUAAUGUGUGGCUUGAAAUCUAUAAGUUUAGAUGAUUCAUGGAGUUUUGAAGGGAUAAUUUGAUGAUUCCGACUAUGCCUUAAGUUGUGCAUGCAAGGGGUUGGAUAAAAUGCCUAAGGGACUAUAAACUAUGCAUCAUAGCUCAAUGGUGACCCAAAUAAUAAGUGCAUGUUUUACCCUUAUGAUCACAAUGACUUCUAUGAUAUUUUUGUGCAUUAUAAAUGUUUUAUGGGAUACUCAUGAGACUAGUUGAUGAAAUUAUGACAUGUUUAUAUGUUGUCCCAUUAAUGUAUAAGAUUAUGAUAACCAUGUGCUUCAUGAAAACCCCAACUUAUAGUAUUAUGAAUUGUGGACUUUAGCUCUAUAGUCAAGAAGUGUUGUGUCUUGUCAGUUUCAUUCUAUCCAGUCCUGGGGGUACUUGUACCUGAUAAUUUAGUUGUGUGCCUAGAGCCAGAGUCAGUUUUUAUGAUACUCUCAGUCAAGCCAUGAUCACUAGAAUUCAGUAAGUUAUAGAACUCAGGGAAACUCAGUAAUCUCAUAAACUCAUUCAGUUGACAGAAAUAAAUAACAUUCCAUCAGUCAAUGGAAUACAGCGAACUCAGUCCAGUUACUUCCAGUAUGAUCAAGUUCAGUGUUCAUUCAUAUGGGAGUAGGAUUCAGCACCGAGUGAACCCGAGGAUGGGAAUAAACACUGCCAGAUGAGGGUGUGAUUCUUAAAAGCAAUCCUUGCAUUCCAGAACUAUGCAGCUAGCUUAGGUUGAGAUAUCAACACUAACAGAUGAGGGUUGAUGAGGUGGAUUAACAUUGUCAGAUGAGGGUCCCACCGUUCUCUUUUGGGGACACUGUCAGAUAAAGGUUACCCAUAGCUUGUCCUUACCAGUGACAUGGUAUUGACACCUUCCAAUUGAGGUUACAGAUUGGACCCUAACUCAGCUAUAUUGCUUUAUUUGGGGCGUGUCGGUUAGAUAACUACUUCCCAUAGUUACAUUUGCAGUCUCAGCAAUAGAACUCAAAUAGUUCUACAAAAUUCAGGACUGUCAGAUACAGUCACCCAGUUCAGUACGGAACUCUGCUAGUUCCACCAGAAAUAGGACUGUUAGAUACAGUCACCCAGUUUACUAUGGAACUCUGCUAGUUCCACCAGAAAUAGGACUGUCAAACACUGUCAUUCAAAUAAUAGUUUAUCAGUUAUACUAACUUAUGUUAUCAGUAUUCAGAUUCAGUGAUGUAAUGAUCUCAGUCACAGUUCACGUAUACAUGCAUGUAUUGUCAUAUUUAUUUUAUUCAGUCAGUUAGUAUUGUUCAUGCAUAUAAAAUCCUUGCAUUCAUCCUACCUCACUUGCAUAUCAGUACAUUCAAUCAUACUGGCGCAUUUGAUCUAUGGUGUUUAUAUACCAUAGGUUCAAAAGCAUGAGUUCCACAAAAUCCUUAGUAGAUCUAUCAUUCGUCAGACUAGCAUUGAGUUCUCAUCAUUCGAGGAUGUUAUUAUUUGAUUAUUUAAUUCUUUCAAGACUUAGUUAUUUCAGUAGUUGGAGUUAGUUGGGGGACAUGUCCCAUCAACUCCUUAUUCAGAUAGUUUAGAGGCUAUUCAGACUAUCAUGUUUAGACAGUUAUUUCAGUUAUUUUGGUAUUGAUAUACCAUAUUUUUAGAUGUUAUGAUUUAUCAGAUAUUUGAACCUUAUGGCCUUUCAGCCUUUUAUUCCAUAUUUAUACAGUAUAUUACGUAGUGGUCAGAUACACAUAUCAGUCAUGGGUUAGCUUGUGGUCCUUUAGGGUCAUGAGCACCAUAUGGCAUUUCGGGUGUCAGAUUCGGGGUGCUACAAACUUGGUAUCAGAGCCUAAGGUUCAACAGUAUCAUAGGAAGUCUGAAAGCCGCAUCUAGUAGAGUCUUGUACAUAGAUGUGUUGUGCACCACAUUUAUGUGCAGGAGGCUAUAAGAUGUUUUAGAAACAGUUUCCUAUCUUCCAGUAUUCAUGUCAUGUCACUGAAUAUAAUCUUAAGUUAAUCUCUCAAUCUAGUCCUUUUCUCUUCCAUUUACAAAACACGCCCCCCAGGAAGAGAACUGGAAAUUAGUCAGCCUCUCAGCCCAAAGAUCUUUUGGGCAAACAUGUCUCUCAUGCAGAGUUCAAAGCUGUAUUCACUACUCUUGCUCAGUCAAUUGUUGUUCAAAAUGAAUGACCAGUUGUCAUUCCGUCCAACCCAAUGGCUAAUUCAGCUGCAGACAGGAUUUAGGACUUCACCUGAAUGAAUCCUCUAUCUUUUUUCUGGUCUAAGUUUGAUGAGGACCCUCAGGAAUUCCUUGAUCAGGUUUAGCAGGUUACAGAUAUCAUGGGGGUGACUCCUAGUGAGAGUGCUGAGGUAGCUGCAUUUUAGUUGAUGGAUGUGGCUCACACUUGGUCCAAAUAGUGGAAGUCAGAAAGAGCAAUUGAUGCAGGGUCGGUAGAGUGGGAGGAGUUUGACACCAUAUUCUUAGAUAGAUUUUUUCCCCUGGAUCUUAGAGAAGCUAAGGUGUUAGAAUUUAUCAACCGCAGGCAGGGCAACAUGACGGUGAAAGAGUAUUCUCUUAAGUUUACUCAAUUAUCCAGAUAUGUUCCUCAUAUGGUGGCAGAUAGCAGGGCUAAGAAAAGUAAGUUUGUUUCAGAGGUGAAUGAUAGUGUGGUAAAUUAGUGCAGGUCUGCAAUGUUGAAUAGUGAUAUAGACAUAGCCAGGCUUAUGAUCCAUACUCAGCAAAUAGAAGAGUAUAAGAUUAAGAUGAGAGAGAAGAAGAAGAAGAAGAAGAGAGCAAGGACAGGUGGUUUUAACUUUGCUCAGCCUAAGUCAGAGGGAUGAAAUCGUUCUCAGUUCCAUCCUAAGUCAUCCGUUCCAUCUCCUUCUUCAGUUAGUGCUCUAGUACCAAAAUUUAGAGAUAACAAUAGAGAUAGGGUGGCAGGCUCUAAGACUCAGAGCAGUGUUAGCAUUGCCAGAACUAAUCCCUUUUGUCACACUUGUGGUAAGAACCAUAAGGGUAUUUGCAGAGCUAACAGCGAUGUUUAUUUUGGAUGUGGCAAACCAGGCCACAGAGUUAGAGAUUAUCCCCAUUUAGGUUAUCAGGGUCAGCAUAACUGUUCUUUAGCAAAGUCCGAUCACCAGAAUCAGCAGAGUGCUACCUCCAGUGCUACUAGUGGGCAACUCCCAAAUAGACUCUAUGCUCUUCAAUCCUGAUAGGAUCAUGAAAAUUCUCCUGAUAUAGUCACUGGUACAUUACAGAUCUUUCAUGUACACGUUUAUGCUUUGCUAGAUCCAGGAAAUUCCUUGUCUUUUGUUACUCCUUACAUAGCAGUUGAUUUUUGAGUCAGUCCCAAAAUUCUAGUAGAGCCCUUCUCAGUCUAUACAUUAGUGUAAAACCAUCAUAGCCCGAUGGGUAUACAGGAACCGUUCGGUUAUAAUAUUUCAAAGUCACUUUAGUAGACUUAGUCAAAUUAGAGAUUACUGAUUUUGAUGUCUUUCUCGGCAUAGAUUGGCUUCAUCCUGCUAUGCCAUAGUCAACUAUAGAAAUAGAGUUAUCCAGUUUUAAUUUCCAAAGGAAUCUAUCUUCGAGUAGAAGGGUAGUAGUUUAGCUUUCAGAGGUCAACUUAUUUCCUACCAUCGAGCACAGAAAAUGAUAUCAAAGGGAUGUGUUUAUCAUCUUGUUCGAGUUAAGGACACUAGUUCCAAAACUCCCAGUCUUGAAUCAGUCUCAAUAGUGAAUAAAUAUUAAGAUGUAUUUCCUGAAGAUCUUCUUGGAAUUCCUCUCGAAAGGAAAAUAGACUUUGGCAUUGAUCUUCUUCCAGAUACUCAGCCUAUAUCUCGCCAUACAAAAUGGCACCAGCAGAACUCAAAGAAUUGAAAGAAAAAUUAAAGGAUCUCUUAUAUAAGGUAUUCAUUAGACCCAGUGUGUCCCCGUGGGGUGCACUAGUCCUAUUUGUGUGAAAGAAAGAUGGUUCUCUCAGAAUGUGUAUCGAUUACCGUUAACUCAAUAAAGUCACGGUCAAGAACAAGUAUCCUUUUACCUGAAUCGAUACUUAUUUGACCAACUUUAUGGUGCAUAUUUCUCUAAGAUAGACCUCAAAUCAGGCUGCCAUCAACUCAGAGUCAGAGAAUAUGACAUUUUGAAAAUAGUCUUUCGUACUUAAUAUGGUCACUUUGAAUUCUUAGUCAUGUCCUUUGGGCUUAUCAAUGCCCCAGAAGCCUUCAUGUACUUGAUGAACCAUGUUUUCAAGUAGUACUUGGACAUGUUCAUCAUAGUUUUCAUAGAUGAUAUUCUUGUCUAUUCCCGCAGUGAACAGGAUUAUGAAGGACAUCUCAGAGUAGUAUUGCAAACUCUCAGAAAUCAUUAGUUGUUUUCCAAAUUUAGUAUGUGUGAAUUUUGGCUAAGGUCAGUAGCAUUCCUUGGUCAUAUAAUUUUUGGCGAUGGAAUUAGAGUUGAUCCUCAAAAGACCGAAGCGGUAAGAAACUGGCCUUACUCUAUCUCUCCAUCAGAUAUCAGGAGUUUAUUGGGUUUUGCUGGCUAUUACAGAUGGUUUGUUGAGGGAUUUUCAUCUAUUUCAUCCCCUAUAUCCAUAUUGACUCAGAAGAAAGUCAAGUUUUAGUGGUCAGAUCCUUGCGAGAAGAGUUUUCAGGAGUCGAAGACCCGACUUACCUAAGCUCUAGUUUUGGCUCUUCCAGAAAGAUCUGAUGGGUUUGUAGUGUACUAUGAUGCAUCCACAGUAGGUUUGGGUUGUUUCCUCAUGCAGCAUGGUAAGGUCAUAGCCUACACCUCCAUACAGCUUAAGCCCCAUAAGAAGAAUUAUCUGAUUCAUGAUCUUGAGUUAGCAACCAUAGUUUUUUCCUUAAAGAUUUGGAGGCAUUAUCUACACAGAGUUUAUGUAUAUGUGUUCACAGAUCAUAAAAGCCUUCAGUAGGUAUUCUCUUAUAAAGAUCUCAAUCUUCAUCAGAAAAGGUGGUUAGAGCUCUUGAAAUAUUAUGACAUGAGUGUCCUUUAUCAUUUAGGCAAGGCCAACAUAGUGGCCAACGCUCUCAGUAAACUGUCUAUGGUUAGUGUUGCUCAUGUUGAGAACAAUAAGAGGAAUCUAGCUCAAGAAGUCCAUCAGUUUUCUAGACUAGAUGUCCACCUAGUUGAUUCAGAGAGGGUAAUUUAUGGGUUUAGAUUAGUUUAGAAUCAUCUCUAGUUUCUGAGGUAAAAGAAAAGCAAGACAGAGAUCCCAUUCUAGACAAGUUGAAAGAGUCAGUCACGGAUCAAAAAGUAGAGGUUUUCUCCCAAGGGGGAGAUGGUGUAUUGCAUUGUCAGAGUCAUCUGUAUGUGCCAAGUGUAGAUGACUUGAAGCAGUAAAUUCUCGCAGAAGCGCAUGGUGCACGCUACUCUAUUCAUCCAAGGAACAAAGAUGUACUGUAACUUGAGAGAUAUCUAUUGGUAGAGUGGUAUAAGGAGAGAUAUUAAAGAGUUUGUGGCUAAGUGCUCUACAUGUUAGCAGAUUAAGAUAGAGCAUCAGAAACCUAGUGGGUCCAUGCAGGAGUUCAAUAUUCCUACUUAAAAGUAAGAAGAAGUAAACAUUGACUUCAUGAUGGGUUUGCCUCAUACUCGUCAUUAGCAUGAUUCAGUUUGGGUCACUGUAGAUCGAAUGACCAAGUUCGUUCAUUUUCUUCCAGUCCAUACCUCCUACUCAGCCGAGGAUUAUGCCAAACUCUAUAUCAGGGAGUUGGUCAAAUUGAACGGUGUUCUAUUUUCCAUUGUCUCAGAUAGAGAUAACCAGUUUACCUCUCAUUUCUGGAAAGCAUUCCAAAAUGUUCUUGGUACCUGAGUUUAACUCAGUACAGCCUUUCAUCCUCAGAUAGAUGGUCAAGUAAAAAGGACCAUUCAACCCUUGAAAGAUAUGCUAAGGGCAUGUGAAAUUGAUUUCAAGGGUAGUUGGGAUGACCAUUUGCCUUUCAUUGAGUUUGCAUACAACAACAACUAUCAUUCCAGUAUUCAGAUGGCUCCAUUCGAAGCUCUCUAAGGUAGAAGAUACAGAUCUUCAGUCAGUUGGUUCAAAGUUAGUGAGGCCUCAGUUAUACAGCCUAACUUGGUAUUCAAUGCCUUAGAAAAAGUCCAAUUGAUUAGAGAUAGACUUCGGGCUGCUCAUAGACGAUAGAAGUCUUACGUAGAUGUACAUAGAAAAGAUCUCGAGUUUAAGAUUGGUUAUCAUAUAAACCUAAAAAUCUCUCCCAUGAAGGGAGUGAAGAGAUUCAGCAAGAAGGGAACGCUCAUUCCCCGAUAUGUCGGUCCCUUUAAAAUUCUCAGUCGCUUCGGCAAGGUAGCUUAUGAUCUUGAAUCGCCUUUAGAUCUAGGCUCAGUCCAUCCAGUGUUCUAUGUCUCCUUUCUAAAGAAGUGCAUAGGUGACCCAGUAGUUGUAGUCCCUAUAGAGGGCAUAGGAAUCUAGAACAAUCUCUGUUUCAAAGAGAUUCCAGUCGAAAUCCUCGACUACCAGACUCGUAGACUGAGGAACAAAGAAGUUCCUCUAGUCAAAGUUCUUCGGAGGAAUUAGUCCUUUGAGGGAGCUAGUUGGGAAGCAGAAGCAGGCAUACGGACAAAGUAUCCUCACCUCUUGUCCACUAAUUCAGACUCAACCCAAGGUAAUAACUUUUCUUAAAGCUUAUUCUUAUUUCAUGUCCAAAUUUAAGUUACAACUUGGCAUUCAUUCUCAUGAUCAGAUUCUCAUUAUAAACUCGAUAUUAAAUUACCAUUGCAUACCCAGUCAUAUGUUCAUGCAUUAAGUCAGUCACGUAUUCAUGCAUCAGAUAUGCAUCCUCAUUAUGAUAAACUCAGUUUAUCAAAAAUCUCAGUCAUGCAAUCAAGAAUCAAUUACGCAUGUAUCAGAUAUGCAUGUUCAGUAUGAUAUAUUUAGUUUAUCAGUCAUGUCAGUCAUGUAAUCAUGUUAUAGUUAUUCAUGUCCUAUAUGUACUUAAGUUAUCAUUUCUCUCCUCUCAGUCAGUUUCAUUUGAGGAUGAAUGUAUCCAAGGAGGAGAUAUUAUAAGGCCCCGCAAAAUUUCUAAGCUUAAUUCAGUCCUUUAAGCUUGUCAAGGGGCCCCAAACUUAGAAAAAAAACUCUAGUUAAGUUCCCAUACUUAGCUUAUUUUUGGCCUUCAAAAAUUGGCAAUCUCAUUUCGCCACCUUAAUGUCCUUUAAUAGUCCGUAUGUUUGUUGAUUCUUGAUCAGAGAGGUCAAUAGGUGUUCUUGGACAACUUUUGGAUUUUUUGGACCUCGAUUAGACCACGUUUGGUGUCCUAAAACAAUGGACCAACGCAAUCUUGGCACGCCGCGUCGCCCAUUGUGUUGGUUAACAUUGUUGCAGGGGCUUCCAGUGAAACUACUGAGGCUUGGCGCAAUCAUGGCGUGAUAUAUCGGUUAUCACGUUAUUGCCCAAUUUUAAUCAUUAAAUGUCUACAUUUUUAAGGGCAAAAGGGUUAAUUUCCCACCCCUAUAUAAACCUAAUAACAUGUAAUUCAGCUAUUUUUUACCCAAAAUAUACUAGUUUCUCUCAAUUUUCCUCAAGAACAGGUUCAGGAUUUUUAAUUAGGGAUUUAAAUUCAAGGAAAUUCCACUGUUAAACUUCGUAGGAUCAAGAACUAAGGUAUGCAUAGUGUUCAUUAAUGGAUUCCUUCCAUCCAUGAAGUUCAAGAAUCAAGUUUUAAAUCUUGUACUAUGAAUAUUUUGCUGUGGGUUGAUAAUAUUCAUGAGAUUAUGAUGAUGUGAUUCCCAAGUUGGAACUUUAUGUGUUGUUUAUGAAACUAUAUUAAUGUGUGGCUUGAAAUCUAUAAGUUUAGUCGAUUCAUGGAGUUUUGAAGUGAUAAUUUGAUGAUUAUUCCUAUGCCUUAAGUAGUGCAUGCAAGGUAUUUGAUAAAAUGCCUAAGGAACUAGAAAUUAUGCAUCAUAGCUCAAUGGUGACCCAAAUGAUAAGUGCAUGCUUUACCCUUAUGAUCACAAUGACUUCUAGUAUAUUGUUGUGCAUUAUAAAUGUUUUACGUGAUGCUCAUAAGACUAGUUGAUGAAAUUAUGACAUGUUUAUAUACUUUUCCAUUUAUGUAUAAGAUUAUGAUAACCAUGUGCUUCAUAAAAUCCCCAACUUAUGGUAUUAUGAAUUGUGGACUUUAGCCCUAUGGUCAAGAAGUGUUGUGUCUUGUCAGUUUCAUUCUAUCGAGUCCAUGGGGUAUUUGUACCCGACAAUUUAGUUAUGUUCCUAGAGCCAGAGUUAGUUUUUACGAAACUCUCAGUCAAGACAUGAUCACUGGAAUUCAAUCAGCUACAGAACUCAGGAUAACUCAGUAAUCUCAUGAACUCGGUCAGUUGAUAGAAAUCAGUAACAUUUCAUCAGUCAACGGAAUCCAGUAACCUCAGUCCAGUUACUUCCAGUAUGAUUAAGUUUAGUGUCUAUUCAGAUAGGAGUAGGAUUUAGCACCGAGUGAACCUGGGGAUAGGAACACACACUGCCAGAUGAGGUUGUGAUUCUUAGAAGCAAUCCUUGCAUUUCAGAACUAUGUAGCUAGCAUAGGUUGAGACAUUAACACUAUAGAUAAGGGUUGAUGAGGUAGAUUACCACUGUCAGAUGAGAGUCCUACCAUUUUAUUUUGGGGACGCUAUCAGAUUAGGGUCACCCACAGUUUGUCCUUACUAGUGGGGCGAUAUUGACACCCUUCCAAUUGGGGUUAUAGAUUGGACCCCAACUAAGAUAUAUUAUUUUAUUUGGGGCAUGUAGGUUAGAUAACUACUUCCAAUAGUUACAGUCUCAGUCUCAAUCUUAGUAAUAGAACUUAGAUAUUUCUAUAAAAUUCAGGACUGUCUGAUACAGUCACCUAGUUCAGUACGGAACUCAGCUAGUUCCACCAGAAAUAGGACUAUAACACACAGUCAUUUAGAUAAUAGUAUAUCGGUUAUACGAACUUAUUUUAUCAAUAUUCAGAUUCAGUGAUGUCAUGAUCUCAAUCACAAUUCACGUAUUCAUGCAUGUAUUCUCACAUUCAUGUUAGUCAGUCAGUUAGUAUUGUUCAUGCAUAUACAACCCUUGCAGUCAGCCUACCUCACUUGCAUACCAGUAUAUUUAAUUGUACUGAUGCAUUUUCACUAUGGUGUUUUAUACCAUAGGUUCAAAAGGACGAGUUCCAGAGCAUACUUAGUAGAUCCACCAUUCAGCAGACAGACUUGUAAUGAUUCCUCAUUAUUCGAGGAUGUUAUAAUUUGAUUAUUUCAUUCUUUUAGUACUUAGUUAUUUAAGUAGUUGGAGUUAGUAGGGGGACAUGUCCCAUCAACUCCCUAUUCAGACAGUUUAGAGGCUAUUCAAACUAUCAUGUUCAGACAGUUAUUUCAGUUGUAUUAGUAUUGAUAUAUCGUAUUUUCAGAUGUUAUGAUUUAUCAGAUAUUUUAACCUUAUGGACUUUUAGCCUUUUAUUCCACAUUUAUACAGUAUAUUAUAUAGGGCUCAGGUACAGAUAUCUAUCAUAGGUUAGCUUGUGGUCCUUAGAGGUCAUGAGAAUCGUGUAGCAUUUUGGGUGUCAGAUUCAGGGCGUUACAGAGUUGGGGAGUUUUCCACUACUUUCUAAGACAAGUUCUUCCCACUAAAGUUGAGGGAGGAUAAGGUGCAGGAGUUUAUCAAUUAGAAGUAGGGUAGUAUGAAUGUGAAGGAGUACUCACUUAAGCUUACAUAGUUGGUGAGGUAUGAUCCAACCAUAGUGGCUGACUCUAGGUCCAGGAUAAGUAAGUUUAUGUCUGGUGUGGCUGAUAGUAUAUUUAAGGAGUAUAGGGCUGCCAUGUUCAUGAAGGAUAUGGACCUUACUAGGCUGAUGGUUCAUGCUCAGCAAAUUGUGGAGGAGAAUCUCAAAAGAAAGGAAAAAGGGAAUAAUAUGGCUAGAACAAGUAGCUUAAACUUUUCUCAGCCAAGGUUGGAAGGUGGUAACUGUUCUCAAUUUUGCAAAAAAAUUUUACCACUAGCACCAUCUUCAUCCAGUGCGCCAGUUCCUAAGUUUAUGCAGGACAGUUGGGAUAGAGCGUCACGCUCUAAGUCCUAGGGUAGUGUGAAUAGUAUUCGUACAAAUCUUCUUUGAAGAAAGUAAAGUAAGGAACAUUAGGGUGAGUGCAUAGCAAGUAGUAAUAUGUGCUUUGAGUGUGGCAAGCCAGGUCACAGGAUCAGGGAGUGUCCGAUUUUUCCUCAUAAGGGAAGGGAUUCGCGCCAACAAAGCCAACCCAUCUUUUUAUCAGCUCCAGUAGGUCAUCCAACUUAGUAGGGUGCCACCUAUAUUUCUACUAAUAGGCAAUGUCAGAAUAGACUGUACACUCUCUAAACACGACAUGAUCAGGAAAGUUCUCUUAAUGUGGAUACGGGUACGUUACAAGUCUUCCAUCUUCACGUUUAAGCAUUGUUAAACCCCAAAGCUUCACUUUUCUUUGUAACUCUUUAUAUAGCUGUGGACUUCGGUGUUAGUCCCAAAAUAUUAGUAGAGCCUUUCUCAGUGUCUACCCCAGUGGGUAUGUCUAUUGUAGCCAGGUAAGUGUAUAGAAAUUGCCUGAUCACAAUGUCCUAAAAAGUUACUUCAGUUGACCUUGUGGAGUUAGAAAUGAUGGAUUUUGAUGUCAUUCACAGCAUGGAUUGGCUCCAUUUAUGUUAUGCCUCAAUUGAUUGUAGAAAUAGAAUUUUUCAGUUCCAGUUUCCUGAUGAACCAGUUAUUGAAUGAAGGGUUAAUACUUCAGUGCUUAAGAGUCAGUUUGUUUCCUAUCUUAAGGCAAAAAAGAUUAUAUCCAAGGGGUUUAUUUACCAUUUUGUCCGAGUCAAGGGCUCAAAUUUUGAAACCCCGAGUCUUGAGCCAGUUCUAGUACUAAAUGAAUUUCCAGACAUUCUUUUUGAAGAACUUUCAUGGGUUUCUCCCAAAAGAGAAAUUGACUUUGGAAUAGAUCUCCUUCUAGAUACCCAACCUAUCUCUAUUCCACCUUAUAAAAUGGCACCAGCUGAGCAUAAGGAAUUAAAGAAAUAGUUGAAAGAUCUCUUAGAUAAAGGUUUUAUCAGGUAAUGUUUCCCCAUAUGGUGCUUCAGAUAUAUUCAUGCACAAGAAAAAUGGUUCCCUCAUAAUGUGCAUUGACUACCAUUAGUUAAAUAAAGUCACAAUUAAUCAUAAAUAUCCUCUCCCCAAAAUUGAUGACUUAUUCAACCAACUUUAGGGUGUAAGUUAUUUCUCAAAGAUAGACCUCAAAUUUGGAUAUCAUUAGCUUGGAGUUAAAGAAUGUGACAUUCUGAAGACAGCCUUCAGAACUCAGUAUGGUCACAUUGAAUUUUUAGUUAUGACUUUUGUACUAAUGAAUACUCCUACAGUUUUUGUGUACUUGAUGAAUAGAGUGUUUAAGAAGUAUUUGGACAUAUUUUCAUAUUCUUCAUUGAUGACAUCCUUGUCUAUUCCUAUAGUGAGAAUGAUCAUAUAGACCAUUUGAGGGUUGUAUUACAGACUUUUAAGGAUCACCAGUUGUUCUCUAAGUUUAACAAAUGCAAAUUAUAGUUGAGGUCAGUAGCUUUCCUUGACCACAUAGUUUUCAGUUAUGGCAUUCGAGUUGAUCCUCAAAAGACUGAAGCAGUGAGAAAUUGGCCUAGACCCAUCUCUCCAUUAGACAUCAUGAGUUUCUAUAGUUUAGUUGGCUAUUACAGAUGGUUUGUUAAAUGAUUUUUCUUCUACUACUUCUCCCAUGUCUAGACUAACCUAGAAGAAAGUCAAAUUUCAGUGGUUAGAUUCCUGCAAGAAGAAUUUUUUGGAAUUGAAGGCUUGACUCAUUUCUGCUCCAAUCAUGACUUUGCCAAAUGGCACAGACGGGUUUGUAGUUUGUUGUGAUGCCUCUAGAGUUGGUCUUGGUUGUAUUUUAAUACAGUAAGGUAAGGCCAUAGCCUAUGCCUCUAGACAGCUUAAACCUCAUAAGAAGAAUUACCCAACCUAUGACUUUGAGUUAGAAGUAGUUGUCUUUGCCUUGCAGAUUUGGAGGCAUUAACUAUAUAGGGUUCAUGUUGAUAUGUUCACGGAUCACAAUAUUUUACAGUAUGUGUUCAUGCAUAAGGAUCUAAACCUUUAUCAAAGAAGGUGUCUUAAAUUAUUGAAAGACUAUGAUAUUAGUAUGUUGUAUCAUCCAAGCAAGGCUAAUAUAGUGGUGGAUACAAUUAGUAGAUUGUUUAUAGGUAGUGUUUAUUAUGUUGAGAAUGAUAAGAAGGAGUUAGUUCAUGAAGUUCAUCAUCUUGUCAAGUUAGUAGUUCGGUUGAUUCAUUCAGCCAAAGGUAGUAUAUGGGCUCAUAAUGGUUCAGAAUCUUCAUUGGUUAGCAAAGUAAAAGAAAAACAAGAUAGGGAUCCUAGUUUGGUCAAUUUAAAGGAGGCAGUUAAGGAUUAAAAGGUGGAGAUUUUCUCCCAAGUGGGAGAUGGUGUGCUUCUUUGUCAAGGAAAACUAUGUGUUUUGUGUGUUGAUGGUUUGAUAUAGGGAAUAUUAUCUGAGGUGUAAGGUGCACAGUAUUUUAUUCACCUAGGGGCUACUAAUAUAUACCAUGUUUUGUGAGAAAUAUAUUAGAGUGGCGUGAAGAAAGAUAUUACAGAGUUUGUUGAUAAGUGUUUGAAUUGCUAGCGGGUUAAAGUUGAGCACCAAGAAAACUAAGUGGUACACUUCAGGAGUUUAGCAUCCUUACUUGGAAGUGGGAGGUAGUGAACAUGAAUUUUGUGACAGGAUUGCCUCAUACGCAUCGUCAGUAUAAUUUAAUAUGGGUGAUUAUAGAUAGAAUGACCAAGUAAGCCCAUUUUUGGCUAGUAAAUACUUUAUAUUUAGUAGAGGAUUAUGCUAGAAUCUAUCUCAAGGAGUUGGUUCAGUUGAAUGGGGUUUUGUUGACUAUCAUUUUAGAUAGAGGUAUACAGUUUACCUCUCACUUUUGGAAAGCUUUCUAGAAAGGUCUUAGUACCCAAGUUCGUCUCAGUACAGCUUUUCAUUAUUAGAUAGAUAGUCAGGUAGAGAGGACCAUUUUGAAUCUAGAAGACAUGUUGAGGGCUUGUGCUAUUGAUUUCAAAGAGACGGGUGAAGAGAUUUGGCAGAAGGGGAAGCUUAGUCCCCAUUAUGCUGGCCCAUAAAGAAUCUUGAGUCAUUUUGGGAAGAAUGCUUAUGAGUUAGAGCUGCCUGGAAAUUUGGCAUCAGUACAUCCAGUGUUUCAUGUCUCUUUGCUAAAGAAAUGUAUUAGUGACUUAUCUUUUGUUAUUUCUCUAGACAAUGUGGAUGUGAAAGAUAGUCUUUCUUAUGAAGAAAUUCUAGUUGAGAUCCUUGACCGUUAGAUUUGUAGGUUGAGAAAUAAAGAAGUCCAUUUAGUAAAGGUUCUAUGGUGAAAUCCGUUUGUUAAAGGAGCUACAUGGGAAGCAGAAGAAGAUAUGUGAGCUAAGUAUCCCCCUAUUUUCUCCACGAAUUUAGAUCCAGCGUGAGGUAAUGAAUUUUCUUAAGUAAUUCUCUUAUUUUAUAUUUCACCCAUGUAAUCAUCCUCAUAUCAUUGCAUGCAUUCAUGAAUUCAGUUCAGUCCAUGUAUUAUGGUUCAGACUCAGUUAAUUUAUGAUAAUUCAGCUCAUAAGUAUUUAGUAUAUGAUCUCAGUUUUCUUAGCAUCUCGACUUAACCAGUUUCAUUAGACCACAGGCUCAUUUCAGCUCUUAGUUACAUAUUAAAGUGGUUCAAGGCUUGGUGUAGGGGACUUAGUCAUUUUCAAAACCCCAAGAUAUCAAGGAAUUCAUUUUUGGCCUUCCCGAAUCCGAAACAUUAAAUUUUAAGUUGAAACAUGUUUAGGGAUGUUAAAGAGGUGUCCCUAAAGAGUUUUGGAAUUUUUGAAAGGGGUUUAGGGUGCUUUUCGACCUUGAAGGCAGAAAGCCUCCGUGAUAGGUGAUGAGUGGUGAUUUUACCACUUAUUUGCACUUAAUAUUUGUGCAAAUUACCUUGUUUUGAAUGAAUAAAUGAGACAUCAAUAUGAUUAAAAACACUAAUAUCCACUCCUUGCAGGCAAAGAGUUGAGGGGAUAGAAAGAUGUGGAUUGGAGCUUAAAAUGAUCAAAAGGGAGCAAGAUAGUGUAGUUGAAGACCUGGAGCAGAAGGGCCUCAGUUACCGCAGUUGUGGUCUGCAAACCGUGAUUGUGGCAGUCAAGUAGGGUCAAUCAACCACGGUUGCGUAAGUCUAUCAUGAUCAUAGAGGCCGCGGUUACAGACAAACUGAAGCGAUAGCGGUUUAGCAGAAGAGUUCAGCCCAAGGGAAAAUCUGGAAAUGCACGUGGCUAAUCCCAAUUUUAACAAAAAGACUCAAACCUUAGAAUUAAGGAUCAUAUUCUAUCUUCCCCAAUUUUUUAAGGCUUAGCUCUUGAUCUCAUAACCUCCAUACUCGGAGAAGAAAAUAUUGUAUAAAUAUUGGGUGUAGGAUACAUUUGAGACCUUCUAAGUGAAGGAAUAGCUCACUUCCAUUAUUGAUUUAUGGGAGUAUAAAGUUUGAAGUAACAUUCACUUAAUCUUCAACAAGUCAUUUCAAUGGAGAUUAUGGGUAUAUCUAUGCUUAUUUAUCUUAUAUGUAGCUAGAUUUCUCUCUUAGGGUUAUGUAUGGUAGGGCUUAAAGUGUAUGUGGGUUGUUAUUGUUAUCCUCUAUUUGGUAGUUCAUUUUUAUGGGUUUUAUCAUUGCUAUGCUAAAUUAGUUGGGAUUUAUGGGUGAAAGCUCAAAACUCUAGAAAGCUCAAGGCCAUUUUCAAAAAAAAGGUUUUGGGUGAACUUUAGGAAUUCACAUCAUCCUUAAAAGGGGGAGUGGAGGCCAAAGCAAUGAUAGGCAAUUAUGUGUGAAAUUUGCUAAAUUUUCACUAUCUUAGAAAUAAGGGUGAUUGUGAAAUUAACUAUACCAUGGGUAUUAUCUUAGAAAUAGGGAUGCCUAAAUUGAGGUUUGGUUACCAAAUGUUAAACACACUCGUUAGGUAUUCGAAAGAAUCAAUGGGUGAAAGUUUGGUGUUGUGUUGAAAGACUAGCAUCAAAAUCUAUAACCGAACCUACCCAUAUUUGAUCUACUAUAAUGAUGUUGAUUACUAACACCCACAUGUCAUUCCCUUAGUAACACAUAAUCCCAAGAUCCGUGCCUAAUUGUUCAAACUCUAAUUAUUUAGAGCCCCAAAUUUAUACUCGAAAAACCGAAAAAUAAACAUUAAUGUUUAUACUUGUCUCCCUCAUUUUUAUCUUUUUGUACUAUUGGUUUAAAUUUACCUUGUAUCUAUUAUUUUGAAUCUUGACUGCCACUCACAUUGUUACUCAUGGAUUUGACCCCGACUCCUAAGUUGGGUAAAUAUAUUGACGACGAUUACCUUGCACUUAAAUUGACGUGUAAGUUAAGCGUUAUCAAAAAUGGCACCGUUGCCGGGGAACAAUUUGGCGUAUUAAGUUAGUUUGGAAUUUUAUCUUACUUUCUUGAAUUGAAGCUUGCGUAUAUUGUUUGUGACUUUUUUUUGUAGGUAGAUUUUAUUGUAUUUUACUUUUCUCUAUGGCAUCUUCCAACAAAUAUGAUGUUAGUAGUUGGGAAUCCUAACGUGAUGACCCAUGUCCAAUCUAUGGUAGUUAGAUACUAUUUUAAUUUUGUUUUGGGGGAUGCCACAUUUUUGGGUAGCCUGAAUAUCAUGGCGAAUUCUUCAGAAAAAAUUGUGCCCAUGCUUUAUAGAUUAUCAUGUUUUUUCUUUUAGUUUUAGUUAUUCUUUUUAUUAUACUUUUAUUUUGAUUUUGGUGAUUCAUGACAAGUUUUGCCCUAUGAUAGAUUGAGUGACGACAUUCUUAAAGGUAAAGCAUCGUGUUUGGGUUUUGAGACAUAGGUACAGGGGAAUUCUGAGUACCCAUAGUAUAAAUGUCAUUAAUACAAGGGAAGUUUGAGUACCUGUGGCAUUUUAAAUUAUAAAUUUGGGAUCAGGUUAUACACAAUUGAAGAAGUCUGAGUAGCCAUAUGGGUGUUUACCCAUUUUGAGCCAAAAGGUGAGGCUAAGGCUUUAGGUUGUAGCCAUAAUUUAUCAAAUUGUGUGUGGUGCUAAUGCAAAACAAGAACUCCCCUCCGUCUAAAAAAAAAUUUUUGAAAAAUCAAGGUCAUGGACGGGAGAAAUGUUGUAACAAAACUUUUUCUCUUUUUGUGGCUUUGUAAAUUUAUAACUUGUGAAUAGAAAUAGAUACUCCAAUUAUGUCUCUAGCGGGAGGGAUAUUUGAGAUCCCUUAGGGAAUUUUUGCAUGUCAUGAGUGGUAAGCUAUUUGAAUUCAUCUCUUGAAUACUUGUGUUAUCUAGAACUUGCCCCAUUAGUCUUUCAAAGCUAAUUUUUAUUAUAGUUGGUUGGAGAAGUGAUCUUAGGCCAUGUUUGUUACUUUGGAACCCACUCUAGCGUGAAAAGCCUACCCGUGCAUAAAGUUAAUCCUUAGUUACCCACUUUUAACCUUUGGACCUUUCUUUGGCAAACUCAUCACAAACUGUGAACCAUUCUUUUGAUCUCUUUUUUAAAACCAUACCCUCCUUGAAUUUGAAGAUGCAACUUGAGGCUAAAAGCUUAAGUUAGGGGUGGAGAAAGUUGAUAGAAGGAAGUUUGGUGCCAUGAAAUUGUAAGUGAAAUGUGUAAUAUACUUUAGCAUUGUAAGCAAAUGAAUAGUAAAGAGAGAGGAUCCAAUAAAAAAAUUGCACAAAAGUUGCAAGAUAAGGAAAUAAAAUAAAAGUGGUGAACAAAGGAAGCGAAAAGUAGGCAUAAGAAAAGAAAGAAAAUAAAGAAGAGUGGCCCUUAGUCAAAAAGAAGGGUUGAAAGGUGUGAUAUAGAUGUUCAAGGAAGGGUGUAGCCAUGUUGUUCCCAAAUGAUAUCCUACCCUAACCCAAACCAAUGUUACAAGCAAAGAAAGUCCUUUGAGAUCUCCAACCAUGUACUUUCUUCGUAGUGGUGAUCGAAAAUAGGGGCAAGCCUAUGGUACAACACUUGUUACAUGGAGAUUUCUUUUGAGAGCAGGAGAAUUUUGCACUUAAAAUUCCUUGUUGCAUAUUUGGUAGCUCGUUGUAUGGAAUUCGCUUUCUUGUGAGGUUGGCAUGCGAACAAGUUAAGGUGGGUGAUUUUGCCACCUCCAGAGCAAUGAGGUAAAUGAAAUAUAGCUUAGUUGUGGUAAAAAAAAGAAGCUAUUUCUAGAGUAUUAGUUCUUGUUGCUUGGUUUCUCUUUAAAGUUUUAUACAUCCUUAGAUAUUGCAAUUUUAUAAUGAGGCGUGCAGUGAAACAAGCCUAGCAUAUGUGCAAUGAGCUGCCUGUGAUGAUGACUAAAGGAGGUCAUUGUGAUCUUUAAGGAAUAAAGUUUGGGCAUAGACGAUUGUGUCUCAUAGUAAGAGGUAGUUUUCUUGAGAACAAGUAAUAGCUUUAAGUUGGGAUGUUGAUUAGUAGUGAUUUUACCACUCAUUUGCACUCAAUAUUCAUGAAUAUUACCUUAUCUUAAAUGAAUAAAUGACACAUAAUUGUGUUUAAAUACACUAAUAUGCACUCUUUGCAGGCGUAGAGUUGAGGGGAUAGAAAAAUAUGUAUUGGAGCUUAAAAUAAUCAAAAAGGGAGCAAGACAGUGCAGCUAAAGACCUAGAGCAGAAAGGCCUCAGUUACCGUGGUUGUGGUCUGUUGACCGCGAUCGCGGUAGUUAAGCAGGGUCAAUCAACUGCGGUCGCAUAAUUCUAUUGCGGUCACAGAGGCUGCGUUCGCGGCCAAGCUAGUGCGAUCAUGGCUUAGUGAAAGAUUUCAGCCCAAGGGCAAAUCUAGAAAUGCACGUGGCUGAUCCUAAUUUUGACAAACAGACUCAAACCCUAGAAUAAUGGAUCAUAUUCCAUCUUUCCCAAUUUUUUAAGGUUUAACUCUUGAGUUCAUAGCCUCUAUACUUGGAGAAGAAAAUAUUAUAUAAAUUUUGGGUGCAGAAUAUAUUGGAGACCUUCUAAGUAGUGGAAUAGCUCACUCCCAUUGUUGAUUUGUGGGAGUGCAAAGUUUGAAGUAACAUUCACUUAAUCUUUAACAAGUCAUUUCAAUGGAGAUUAUGGGUAUAUCUAUGCUUAUUUAUCUUAUGUGUAUCUUGAUCUUCCUCUUGGGGUUAUGUGUGAAUAAGGGUUAAAAGUGUAUGUGGGUUGUUAUUGUUAGCCUCUAUUUGGUAGUUUAUUUUUAUGAGUUUUAUCAUUUCUAUGCUAACUUGGUUGGGAUUUAUGGGUGAAAGCCCCAAAUACCCAUAUGGGUUUGAUGAGUAAAAGAACUAAACUCUAGAAAGCUUAUGGUCAUCUUCGAAAGAAGGGUUUUGGGUAAACUUUAGGAAUUCACAUCAUCCUUGAUAGAAGGAGAUGGAGACCAAAGCAAUGAUAGGCAAUUAUGUGUGUAGUUUGCUAAAUUUUCACUAUCUUAGAAAUAACGGUGAUUGUGAAGUUAGCUAUACCAUGGGUAUUAUCCUAGAAAUAGGGAUACCUAAAUUGAGGUUUAGUUACCAAAUGUUAAACACACCCAUUAGAUAUUUGAAAGAAUCAAUGGGUGAAAGUUUGGUGUUAUGUUGAAAGACUAGAACCAAAAUAUAUAACCAAACCUACCCAUAUUUGAUAUACUAAAUUGAUGUUGAUUACUAAUACCCACAUAUCAUUCCCUUAGUAACACAUAAUCCCAAGAUUCGUGCCUAAUUGUUAAGACUCUAAUUAUUAAUAGCCCCGAAUUUAUACUAAAAAAACCUAAAAAGAAACAUUAGCGUUGAUACUUGUCUCCCCCAUUUUUAUCUUUUUGUAAUAUUGGUUUGAAUUUAACUUGUAUCUAAUAUUUUGAAUCAAUAUAAUUUCCACUCACAUUGUUCCUCGUGGAUUUGACCCCGACUAAUAAGUUGGAUAAAUAUAUUGAUGAUGACCGCCUUGCACUUAAAUUGACUUGUAAGUUGAGUGUUAUCAAUAGGGGCGUGUAAUGGUGGCAGGAGCUCCGCGAUGAGCUCUGUGACACAAAGAAAGGACCUCCGCGAUGGGUUCCGUGUCACGGAGACUAGCCUUCGUGAUAGGCUUUGUUCCAUGAAGUCUAUAUUUUUUGUGUUAACUAAAUGCUCGAGGGCUACUUCGGUCUUUACCCCUUACCCCCAAACGUCUACUAUACAAAUUAACGCCCACAAAAGGCAUUAUUUGCCCAUUCUCACUUAGUUAACUUAUGUAAACCCUUCCCCAUUUUCCCCAAGAACAAAAUUGAUGUUUUCCUCCCAAAGAACUCAAGGAUUCAAGUUCCAAUUUCAAGCUUUCUUCAAGAGUUCAUCCAAUUGAGGUAUGUGGGGUAUUCAUCAAUGGGUUCCUUCUACCAAUAGAGCCCAACAAUCCCUUUUUUGACUUAUGUAUGAAUCUUUCCCUCUUUUAUGGAAUUAUCCAUGUUAAAUGUGAACCCAAUCCUUGCUUUUCUUAGUAAUUUGAAUUCAAUACAUGUCAGUAUAUGAUUCCAUGUGAAUUAGGUUAUUUUAUGGUUUGAAUUUCAACUACCCAUGUCAUAUUCAUUUGGUUUCAUGUUAAUUUAUCAAGUUAUGAGUUAAACUAUGUGAAAUUGUUAUCCUCUUAAGUUUAACACCUCCCCAAGUUCAAAUUCGUGUAUCUUACUCGUUUAUUGAAAUGUCUUUUGUUUUGGGUCUCUAAACAAUGUCGUUAUAUCAUUGUUUUAAGUGUUUUCAUCGUAUUUAUGAAGUGGAAGGUUAUGAAAACCCGAUACCUAUCUGUUUGUACAUGUCUUUAUUUUCAAGUUACAAGUGAGUCACACUAUGAUUUCAUUACUACAUUCAGAACAUUAUGUUUAUGUUGAACACUUUUCAAUACAGUAUCACAUUAUGUUAAGUCAAUAAUAAUACCAAUGUUAUUUCAGUUGGGAGUAGGACUUAGCACCGAGUGAAGGUAGGGAUGGAGGCUCCCCCAUUAGUUUAGGCGGAGCCUUUAGUAGCAGUCCCUAAGUUCCUGAACUACAUAGCCAGCGUAGGUUACGAGGGGUCACCCGAUAGUUUUGUCUUGAUACCCUCUCAGGGGUCACCCAUCAGUUUAGUCUUGACACCCUGAUCCUUAGGUACUUACAACCUUCCAAUUUUGGUUACAAGUUGGACCCUGAUUUGCUCAAAUUGGGGCUUGUUGGUUACACCAUAGCUCCUACAGUUUCAGUCAGUACUCAGUCUAUAUCAGCUCAGGUUUGCUUGACCAAGUAAUCCAAUUUUCAAUUAUUCAGUUAGUCAGUUUUACAUAUUUAUUUAGUUCAUACAUUACUUGUUCUUGCUUUCUCAAUUUUAUAUGUUCAUGCAUCCAUGUUUGAUUUCCACAGGCAUUUCAGUUAGUCCUUACCUGACAUACCAGUACAUUCAAAAUAUUGAUCGCAUACAUUUCUUUGUUCUAUGUUGUCUUAUAACAUAGGUUUAGAUGCACAGUUCCUUAACCAUCCUUAGACAGCUCAGCAUUUCCCAGUAGCAGUAGUGGUUAUUACUCACCCAUCAAGGACGUGACAUGUUAUGAUAGUUAUUUUGGUAUUUCUUUAUGUUCAGUAAGGCAGAGUUAGUUAGGGGUUUGUCCUAUCACCUCCUUAUGUUUUAGAAACUUUCAAAUAGAUAAUCAGUUAGUUUUUAGUCUAUUUAGUUAUUUUAGACAUGUUGAAUUAUAUUUCAGUAUUACAUCUUACCAGUAUUUUAUCAGAUUAUCUUCCGCACUUGUUAUAUCAUAAUUAUUUUAUUCAACACUUAUAACAGGUACCAGAUCAUGGUUUUGCUUGGGGUCACUUAUGGACUUAAGCAUUAUGUUGCGACUAGGGGAAGCCUCGGGAUGUGACAUGAGGUAUUUGCGAAGACUUUAAAAUUUCCAAGUUUUAACUGGUGUUGAUGCACCCACGUUCGUGAACUAAUGAUCACUUAAACGAUUUGCCAAGCACCAACUAAUAUCGCAUAAGUUAUAUUCUUAGUCGUGUAAGCGACACCCCAGACAGAAAGACCAGUAUCGCACAUGUGAUAAUGAUACCUUGUAUAUGGCUUAUGCACCUUUGGCCAGGUUCUGUGUGCACGAUCAACCGACCGUUUAUGCGAUACCCGUGUACCUAAAAGGGGUAUAAAUAUCUCUUUUAGCCCCUUUUUCAUCAUUUCUCAUCCAUCUCUAAGAUAUUUAAACCCAAAAAAUGUGGGAAAGCUUGGGGAUAACAUUUGGGAGUGAUUUUGGAGCUUGGAUAAAGAUUAUUUAUGCGAUUUCCUUUAAAUUUGUGGUGACAUUUCAUCAUUUUUAUGGUUUACCUUCUCGUUCUUAUCUAAAAUCUGUAAAAUACGGGUGACUUGAUGUUAGCACCAAUAUAACACAAAAUUCACCCAUUUUUUAGGGUAAAUAUUUCUAAAGCAUAGAGGGAUGUUGAGUUGGUUUUGGAAAUGUGGUUUCUGUAAACAGGCCUCAUAUGGGAUUUUUACAUAAUUUUGAACCCAAAGAAUAAUAAUGCAAUAAGUGUAUCAUUUUUCUUAUUUUGAUAAGUAGAUUGUGAUUUUGAUGGCAUGGCACCUUGCAAAAGCUUCUCAGAAGGGAAAAUUGAUGAUUUAUCAAAUUCUUCAGGCUUUCUUCGUCGUCCAGGUAGGCUAGGUUUACUUUUUUAAUACAUUGAGCUAUAUCAUAUAUAUUCUUAUAAUAUUAUGCUAGAUAUGAGGUGGGAUUUAGGUUUUUGGAAGUAUGGAUGAGAAUAUUUAGUUUAAUUAGACAGUUCAGUUUUCUUGAAACCAUAGCCUUGGAGUAGUUAGUGUAGUUAUUCAUGGCUUAGCUGAAUCGAUCUUAACGAUAUAUACAUUUAGAAUGGAAAUGAUUUAAUUAUUAAAGAUAGGUGAAAUUUCCCUAGUCAUUCAUAUUUGAGUGAAAUUGUUCUUAGUUGCCUAAGUUAUAGGAAUUGCCCUUGUUGCUAUUGUUGUAGGUAGGAUUACCUUAAUUGCUCAUGUUCGGGGAAAGAACUCUAUCCUAUGGAUAUUUAUGGCUUUCUUGACAUCUAGAAAUGAACCUAGAUACCUUAGCCUAGCCCAGGGUAAAGGCUGCCAAAAUUGAAUUUUGGGGAUUAGAAGUGGGCCCCUUCACCCACCUUAGGCUAAGACUCAGAUUAGCCUUGUUGGCUUAGUUAUGCAUUAUUAUACUUUUACUAUUUAUGGGUUUGACACUUGAGGAGAUUGAAUAUAUUCAUUUUUUACGUUAGUUGGAUAUUGGAAGAUUGAUGCUAAUUUUAGGUAUUGCAAAUGAAAUUGCUUAUAUGCAUGAUUUAUGACAUGGCUUGCAUGUAUAUAAUUACUGAGAUGGCUUUUGGACUUGACUAUUGAUAUGAGUCAUAAAUACAUGAAUGAUUAUAGGACUUAUACAUACUAGAUCAUUGAUAUGGCCUCCAAAUAUGAAAAGUAAUAUGGCUCAUAGAUGCGUUAUGGCUCAUAGAUAUGAUUAAGGCCUUAGAGAUACAAUAUGGCUUAUGGAUAUAAUAUAGCUUACUGAUAUAGUAUGGCUUAUAGAUAUGGUCAGGUCCAUAGAUAUGAUUAAUGGUUCAUAUCCAUGAUGUGGCUUAUAGAUAUGCUUAAUGCCUUACACACCUGAUUAGUGACUUAUAACUAUGAGUAUUGAAAUAACUUAUGACCCUGACUACUGACAUGACCUAUGGCUAUGAUUAUUGUUUAUGACAUUAAUAAUAUAAGCACCGGUUCAAGUUCGAUAAUUGAUUAUGACAUUAAUGAUAGGAGCACUAACUUAAGUCUGAAAACUGAUUAUGAUAGUAUGAUCACCAGUUCAAGUCCAAUAAUUGAUUGUGAUAUUGACGAUAUGAGCACCGAUUCAAGUCCCAUAGUUUUGGUACUCAUACUACACUUCUGUACCUUUUUGGUACAGAUUCGAGUACUAGUUAUAGUUGCUGAUUUGAUAUUCGAGUAGGGUUGAUUUCAGAGAUUGGGUGAGCUCUUGUAGUUGGAAUUACCCUUUUCCUUCUAUUUUCUAUGAUUAGUAUUUCUUUUUCGAAACUUUGACAAAAACCUCUCACGAUCGUACCAUAAAGACACGACCAUACCUUACUAUCAUAGGAGAAAGGCUAGGAACAAGGCUACAAAACAUAAGUGUGAGAUAAUCAAACGACAAUAAGCCAUAUUCAUACUUUGAUAUGAUGAUCAUACCAUGAGAUCAUAGGAUGAAGGCUAAGAUAUGAAGGUGGCAGAAGUAUAAGUCGAAGGUGAUCAGACGACAAUAUCACCUGAUUAUACCUUGAUACCAUGGAGUCGUACUGAGCACCUUACCAUUGAAGAUAAGAAGACUAACAUCCAAUAUCUAAACUACAAGCACCAAAGGAUGAUCAUGGUAUCUAAACAUGAUCGUACCUUCUUAUCGUCUGAGCCAACCAACCCAAAUUUCCUAUUUUGUUUCGAAUAGGAUUUAUUUUGUUUAUAAAUACUCUUAUAGGGUUAUUUUUAAAUGUUAUACACUACUUUGAUUUAACAUUACUGUAUUUGAGGUUCUAAGGCUAUUCUUGAAAUUUUAUGAUCAUUUUUUCAAGGGUUUUAAUUAAAGUUAAGAUUUUGGAGUUUAAUUCUCAUUGUAAGUCUAUAACAAUGCUCUCGUCUAUGAAUUCUUCUUAUGUUCUUGCAAUUAUGAGUGUCUAAACAUCAAAACUAAGGUUGUGAAAACCAUGAUGAAUUAAUGAAAUGGGUUAACUGUGAGGCAAAUCUAGACUAGUGUGGAUUCAUGUAUUAGUAUUUCCUUCAUUACAACUGCUUUUCUAAUGGUUGCAUUAGCGACGCCUAAGUUACACCUCCACUCUGAAGAUGAUGUGAUCUCUGCCAAAUAUAGUAACCCAAAGAAGUUUGGGGUUGAUUCAAAAGGGAAUACGUGGAAUUGUGGCUCUCAAUUAUUGUAACCAAAGGGCAGAACUAGAAAAUUAAAUAGGAGGAUUUGAGUAUCAAUGUCGAACUAGUAGAAAAUAUCAACUUUGGUUAUAUUCAGUCAUAGGUGAACACUUGGAUUGUGUUUCCCCUAGCUUCUCAACUCCGUAGGCUUAUUGUGCUUUGUUGAACCAACCUGAUACCUUACAUGCAGAAUCGUUAAAUUAUAUACCUUCUACAGUCUUUUGGACGAGCAGAAGGAUUUCACCCUUUACCUUUUGAGUCUUAGCAUGUCGCAUUACAAACCCUUAUCUUGAUCUCAGUUAACUAUUACCUUUUGAGUCUCUAAUUAUUAGAUAAAAUCAACCAUCUUACUUAGAUAAAACCUUGUAGCAUGGAUCAAUAGUUAAACUCCAAAUUACUGUUGUCAUUAUCUUUCCUAGUCACUACUCCUCUUUUAGAGUAAGUAGCAAUAAUCUAGGUAGGAUCCUAGUUUUUUCAACCUCUAAGAUAACUAGUAAAGUAAAUAUAAUACAAUACAUUCACGGGUAUCAUUUCAUAACAACAAUAGCACUUUCCUUACUUCGUUAAUCCACUAGGGUUUCCACAACCCUAACUAAGGGUUUAUAGCCGCUCAUGCUUGUGAAGUAAUUAACAACAUUCAUGAUUCAAAGCAUAGGAUAAAAUCACAGUAAUCACAAGUAAAAACCCAAAACCGUAACUCAAUUAAUUAACCAAUAUCAAUACAAGAGAAUUCUAAGACUAAAAUCGAAUCUCGAAAUCAAAAUAUAUUUGUGAGUAUCAAGAGUGCAUAACUUCUACUGAAAAACACAUAAGAGGUAUCUAUAGUACCUGAGAAAACCCUAAAAUCAAAGGCCAAAUGAAAUAUAAGAAAAAAGGGUCGGUAGCAUGUGCCCAGACCAAAAAUCCAUGCAGGUCUGCUCUAGGGAUUUUGGACUUUUGACACAUAAUGUGCUCACAUGCAAUCCACAUGUGCUACGUGCAGUCUGCAUGUUAACUUAGCAAGUGCCAGAAGUUAUUUUUCCAACUCUCCUUCAAUUCCCACACAUUUUUUGUUCACGAACCAUCUGGAAAGUGUCACAAACACCCAUUUUUUAUCACAUAAGUAACCAAAAACACAUUUUCCCCUCUUUUUCAUAAACUUAGCAUCCAAAAUCUAGUUUCUUGCAAAACAUAACCAAAAAGCAUCAUAUCUAACAAAACAACCUCAGAAAUUUGCAUAUUUUUAUAGUUUUAAGCGUCGAAAGUGUUAUAUUUCUAUAGCACAUCAUGCAUAUAUUAGGAACUCGCAUGUAUUCUAAACUUUCUCGGGAGAGAGCUAUAGAUUAGGAAAAGAGAAUAACAAUAGAUAUUUAAGGCUAUCAAUCCUCAUCUAAUAACUUGAACCGUAACAGGGAUAAUUACUAUGAAAUCAAGAACAAAAGUUUGUAGUACGACAAUCUAAGUCUGAGAGGAGACAACAUUAAUUCAUCUAAUAAAGGUCGAAAGAAGUUUAGAUAAACCUAAAAAUAUCAAGAUAGUUUGAUAGCAUAAGCAACCUAUGGAGUUAGGAAAUAAUUGGAGAUUAUAAUCCUAGUGCUCGUCUCAUAUUGAUUACAAAUCCAAAAACCAUAAAUUGUUAACCCCAACCUUGUUGUUGUCUAUAUUUGAUUUAGUAGCCUAUUUAUACUUUUUGAGAGGUGUAAUAUGAGCAACAUUAUUUACUAAGCCUCAACAACUCUAUAACAAGGUAAGAAUAACUUAACUAUUCUCUAGAAAGUAACCAAGCCUAAUAAAGCUCAUAAUAUAGGUAAUCCUUAUCAAUUAUUCAAAACACCAAGUUAUCUAUUUACAAUUCAUCCUAGAGGUACUUACAAGUAGUAAAACUAACUUGAAUAAGUAUUUACCUAACUACAAGCGAUCAAAACCUUUAGUGCCCGUGUAUAUCACCUAAGAGGGACCUAAGAGGGACCUCCAAUCCUAAAUAAAAUACAAAAUACAUCCAAACAAGCAUACAACAUAUAAAUAUUUUGAAAAAAUUCAAGGCACAUCUCAACCUACAUUAAAUAAAGAUCUAUAAGAUCAAACACCGUCUAAAGCCUUAAUAAGAAGCUCAACUCCCUCAAAUCAACACCAUACAUGUCCAAUAUACUCAAAAAUAACAUUUACAUGUCAACGAAAGCUAAUGAUACCCAUAUUGACCAUAUUAAAGACGGGUCCAAAGUGGGCUCGAAAAAUGAGUCAAAAAAUAAAAGGGGUAAAACCAAAAUUUUAUUUAAGAAUAAUAUUUCCUAUAUCAAUAGGAGUCUAUAUUUGAAAAUACACAAGAAAUCGAAUAGAAAUCAAACUCCAAAUCAAAGAAAAAACAAUUUACACUUCAUUGACUAAAAACUCCAACAAUACAUUUAAAAUCAUAAAUUAGAAGUUGUUUUGAAGAUAGAAACAAUGGAAAAUGAUGGAAUAAAGAUCGAGAGACUUACCCAUGGAACAAAUCAUAAGAAGAUCUUUGAUAUUACCUUAAUCCAAGAUCUAGGAGUCUAAAAAUAGAGAAAAUAUGAUUAAGGGCCAAAAUAGGGAUUUCUAGUCUAUCCAGGUAUGCAAUCAUCGUGAUUGCAGGCCACCAAUCAUGAUCUUGACCUGACUCAAUCUGUCCCUUUGGAAACGCAGUCCUUUGGCCACAAACGCGAUGAAGAAAACUGGCCUAGCCCACAAAUCUAAGCAUCACAAUCGCAGUGCCCACCAUCAUGGUCAUGAUGAAAGAAGAAUUUGACAUUCACGAAUGUGAUGUAGGGAUCAUGAGUGUAAGGGAAUAAAAGGCAAGGCUAUGCAAAUUUGAUGCUGGAGGCCACCAUUGCGAUGAAGAGGGACUUGCACCAGAAAAUAGUUGAAAAUUAGAACCUCUAAGUCUAAAAAUCCUUCGAACGACAAAAAUAAUCUAAUAAUGCUACAAGGCUAAUUUUGAUGUUUCGAACUUAAUGGAAAUGUUGGAUUUUCGAAGAAGGAUUGUUUUUAUAAAAUUAAUGUAACACCCUAAAAAAUUCAAGCAUUUUAUUUUUGGCUUUUUCACACUAGAAACAUCAGUUUUGGACUUAAAUUGUACCUUAGUAUAUUAAAGGGGUGCCCCGAAAGAGUUUAGGAAUUUUCAGGCGGUGUUCGAGAUGAUUUUGGACCCAGAGAUAGUAAGCCUCCAAGAUAUUCUCAUUCCAUAAAGGAUAAUCUCUAUGUUAGGGUAUGUGACACAGAGGAUAGCCUCCAUGUUAAGGUUCGUGUCACGGAGGCUAGCCUCGUGAUAAGCUCCGUGCCAUGUUGUCUUCUAGAUUUCGGGCAGUCACUUAGGAUUAAGGAAGGGUUUUUUGCUCUUUCUCCUUCAUAACCCCUUUCCCAUGACUUAAAUUAUUCCUUAAACAUUAUAUCACAUCAGUAAAUCCCUAAAACAUUAUUCCAUAACAAAAAGGGAGAAACUACCUAGGGUUUGAGAAUUUUAAGCUUCAAGGAUCAAUUUUUCCAAGGUUCUCUUCAAUUUCAAGGUAUGUGGGACUAUCCUAAAUUCUCAUGGGUAUAAAUUUAUUGUUUUAACAAGCUUUAAAGAUAUAAAAUUUAUGUAUCUAUUAUAGGUUUUGGAAAUCAUCUGAAGAGCAUGCAUCAUAAACUCAUUUUGAUGCAAGUAUGUAUUUAUCAUGAGGUUUUUCCAUAAACUUGAGUUAUAAUCAUGUGCAUAUAUGAUAUGAGAUACAAAAAGUAAAUUAUGAGUAAUUUAUUAAAUUCCCUCUUCCAUGAUAGAAUUUAUGGUCUUAACAUGAUAUGGACUAUUCAAAUAUGUGAGCAAAAAUUAAGUUAAAUAUUUUACUAUCAUCUAUGGGUUUACAUUGCUCUAUCAUCCAAAUGAGAGUGUGUUCCUUGAUUAUAAAUGCUCAUUAUGUUAAAUGAAAGAAUUUUAAGUGAUAAAUGAAAGAAUUGUCCACCAUAUGUUAGAGUCUUGAAAAGAGAGUGUUUUGCUUAAGUUUCAAAUACUUUUUGAAAUAAGUACUCUCAUGUGAUGUAAAGAAAUUCUUCUAGUGGUCACUUACGUAUUUCUUGAAUUAGAAGGGCUAUGGACAUGAUAUAAUAUGGCUUGCAAGUCUACGUAUGAUGAUACUUAUUAAAAAAUGCCCUUAACAUGAAAACACAGAAGGACUAAGAAAAGAGUGUAGUUUUAAAUGGAUAAAAAUGGGCUUAAAGAGAAUUAGGUGGUUACUCGUAGAAGGCAUGAGUUCAGAUAACGUAUUUCUCAACACCAUGUUUUAUCGAUGUAGGAAGUGAUUUUUUCUUGAAAUAUAGAUUAUCACUGUAUACUUAUUUCUCACAAUUGUGUACUUAGACCAGACACUUAUCCUUGUAGCAAACUCAGAUGGGGGGCUUGGCCGGUGAGUUAAUGUGGAUCACAUAUAGCCCGUGGGAUAACAGACUUGUAGGGUGUACCAUCAAGCUCAGAAGUAAAGCAAAGAGUUGAGUCAGAAAUUACAAGAACAGUUAGAAACUCUUAAAUUAUGCCAAUGUGUUAUAUAUAUAUAUAUAUAUAUAUAUAUAUAUACAUACAUACAUACACAUAUUUAUAUAUAUAUUAUGCUAAAUUGAUUCAGCAAUGCUAUCAAUUAUUUUACAUGGAUUAUAUGUUAUGUUGGAUGAGUUCUGCAUACUAAUACUCUCCAUGUAUUGACCCUUACAAUACAAAUUCUGAGGCACAAUCACAUGAUCCGGUGCAAUAGUAGAUUUCACUCAGAUAGUCAGAGUUAGUGAGCCUUCCUUACUCUGAAAGGCAUUUUAUCCAUACAUUAGUUUCAAUUAUUUUAUGGUCCAGUCGAGGGGCUUGUCCUGGCUUAGACAAACUAUAAUGCUCAGAUCAGUAGAGGAUUCGUAGAUUGGUUUAGAUUGGAUUUGCGUUUUCUUAUGGAUUGCUGUCAUGAAUUAUUAAGUUUGACUAUGGGAUUUUCAUGUUUCAAUUUAUCUUCCACAAUUUUAUUUCAUGUGAAUUAUACUAAAGGGUCUCUCAGGACCUUGUGGUUCGAGAUACCUAUCGUAGCUAGGGCCUCGACUUGGGUCGUAACAAGUUUGGUAUCAGAGCAUAGUUUAGGGUCCCAAGGUAUCUACGAAGCCUUGUCGGGUAGAGUCCUUUUUUGGAUAUACAGCAGAGAACACUUUUAAGGAGAAAGCUAUCAAGUAUUUAGGGAUGGUUCCCCUUUUUUACAUGUUCUAGUUGAUGCCAUAGGGUCUGAACAUUUCCUAACUCUUGACUUUUUAUAUUUCAGAUCAUGCCUCCCUGUAGAUAAACUAAGAAGAACACAUCAGCCAGCGCAUCCAUCCCUAUUGGACAAUUUCUGAAGAUGUCCACGCUGCUCAUGGAUCUAUACCUUAGAGUUUACUUAUACUCUAGGGGUUCCUCCAAUCCAAAGUAGCCCUUCCCAUGAUCCUCAGUUUGAUAUUAACCGUACUUAGUCCCUGCAAAGAGAUGUCUCAAAUACUGAAUUUUAUCUAUAUCAUUGCUUAGCUUAUGGCUUCGCCGUUCUAGAGAUGUGAGUUAUAUGCCUGGUUCUUCUGAAACCACUUGGGUUGGGUAAUUCAUAAGUCUAAACCCACCUACCUUUAUGGGUACUAAGCUUGAGGAGGACCUUCAAGGAUUUAUAGAUAAGAUAGAGAAGAUAUUUAGAGUCAUACAUGCCAGUGAUACUAAGGGGGUAGAGUUUGUAGCUUACUAGUUGAAAGAUAUGGCUUACCAGUGGUAUGAUCAGUGGCAAGAGUUGAGUGGGGAAAAUGUUGCACCUACAGCAUUGGAGAAGUUUUUAGAGGCCUUUCUAGAUCACUUUUUUCCUCAAGAAUUAAGGGAGGCCAAGGUAGAGGACUUUGUUAUUCUGAAAUAAGAAAAGAUGAGCAUCAAAGAAUAUGCAUUGAAAUUCACCCAGUUGUCUUGUUAUACUCCGAAUUUAGUUUACAACAUGAGGGCCCAUAUGAAAAGGUUUACAUCCAAUCUCACGGCUGAUUUGGUAUUGGAAUUAAGGGGGCAAUGCUGAACAAGGAUAUGGAUAUCUCCAGGUUAGUAGUGUAUAUGUAACAGGUAGAGGGGGAGAAGAAGAAGAAAGCAAGAGAUGAGAAGAGGCAGACUGAGAGAGCUAAGUCAGUGGAUCACAGUGCCAGUCAGUAGCAGAGUGGCAAAUGGGGAAGGCAAUGGUCCUAGAAAAUGGUUUUGGGUAAUGCACAGUCUUCAUCUAGUGCGCCUGCACCCGGACUAUCAGGUGAGCAAAAGUUUCAUCCUAGUAGUGGGCCAUGGAAUCAAGAUAAUCAGACUCAGGGAAGCAUAACCCAAUCCUCUAGAUUUCAUCUACACUGCAAUAAUUAUGGGAAGAAUCACCCAAGAAAUUAUUAUUUUGGGACCUUGGUGUGUUAUGGGUGUGGCUAGGUUAGCCACUUCCUCAGGGAAUGCCCCUAUGUAAAGGGGACUUUUAGGGGUGCAAAGACUCAAGGAAAUUCCUCAGCCCCUCCGUCUAAGGGUGCUACUUCUGGUACAGUUGGUGGUUGUAACCAUUUAUAUGUGUUAUCUACUCAUCAGGACUCAGAGGCUUCACCAGAUAUGGUUACCGGUAUGUUACAGAUUUUUUUCUCAUGAUGUCUGUGUUCCUUGAUCCCGGGUCUACUUUGUCUUAUAUGACUCUUUAUGUGGCAAAAGUUUUAGUUUUAAGCCCGAGAAUAUUUUUGAACCUUUCUCUGUCUCUACUCCUGUAAGUGACUCUAUCAUUUAUAGAUGAGUCUAUAGUUAUUAUGUAGUGUAUGUGUUCCAUCAAGAUACUGUGGUCGAUCUUGUAGAAUUAAUAUGAUUGAUUUCAACGCUAUUCUAGGAAUGGAUUGGCUCCAUUUAUAUUAUGCCAUAUUAGAUUGUAGAACCAUAAAGGUUACCUUUUUUUUCCUAAUGAACCAGUUAUUAAAUGUGAAGGUAAUUCUCUUGCGCCUAGAGGGAAGUUUAUAUCUUAUCUUAGAGCUUAUAAGCUCAUAUCCAAAGGUUGUUUGUACCAUUUUGUUUGGGUCAAAGAUUCUAGCAUUGAGAGUCCUUCCCUCUAGUUGGUUCUAGUAGUUAAUGAAUUUCUAGAAGUCUUUCCUAAUGAUUUCCCUGAGAUACCCCCGAUAAGGAGAUAGAUUUUGGAAUUGACCUGUUGCCAAACACCCAACCUAUUUUCAUUUAGCCAAAUAGGAUGGAUCUUGGGGAAUUAAAGAUUUGAAAAAACAGUUAAAAAACAUUCUUGGAAAAGUCUUUAUUCAUCCUAGUAUCUCCCCCUAGGGUGCUCCGGUACUCUUCAUAUGUAAGAAAGAUGGCUCCCUCUGUUGUAUAUAGAUUACCGUUAGCUAAAAAGAGUCACAGUUAAAAAUAAGUGCCCUCUGCCCAAAAUUAAUGAUCUAAGAGUCACAGUUAAAAAUAAGUGCCCUCUGCCCAAAAUUAAUGAUCUUUUAUACCAACUUCAAGAGGUUAAAUGUUUUCUCUAAGAUAGACCUUCAUUCAGGACAUCACCAGUUGAAAGUUAGAGAGGCUGACUUUCCAAGACAGUUUUCCAAACCCAAUACCGUCACUAUGAAUUCCUGUUCAUGUUUUACAGGCUAACUAAUUCCCCAACAACAUUUAUGGACCUCAUGAAUAGAGUAUUUUGGCAGUUCUUGGACCUUUUUUUAUGUCUUUAUUGAUGAUAUUUUGGUUUACCUAAUAGUGAGGAAGAUUAUAUCAAUCACCUCCAAAUCGUCCUUCAGACUCUUAAGGACCAUGAGUUACAUGCCAAAUUUUCUAAGUGUGAGUUCUGGCUCAGUGCAAUAGCUUUUAUGGGGCAUACUAUUUCUAGUGAAGGAAUUAAAGUGGAUCCCAAAAGGUUGAGGCUGUAACGAAAUGGCCCAGACCCAUGACUCCAACCAGUAUUCGAAGCUUCUUGGGUUUGGCAGGGUAUUACAGAAGAUUUGUAGAGAGAUUUUCAUCCAUAGCUACUACACUUACUAGAUUUACUCAAAAGCAGGUAAAUUUUUUGUGGUCUGACUCUUGUAAAAAUAGUUUUGAGAGGUUGAAAGAUAAGUUGACUACUAUGCCGGUUUUGACCAUUCUUAAGGGUAUAGAGGGUUUUGUGGUAUACUAUGAUGCAUCCUGAGUGGGACUUGGAUGUGUACUCAUAUAGCAUGGUAAGGUAGUGUCUUAUGCAUCUAGACAGUUGAAGGUACAUAAGAAAAACUAUCCCACCCAUGAUUUAGAGUUGGCAGUUAUGGUGUUUACACUUAAAAUUUGCCAUGCAUGUUGACAACUUUGCUGAUCAUAAGAGUGUGCAGUAUGUUUUCACCCAGAUGGAGUUGAACCUCAGGAAGAAGCUGUGGUUGUAGUUGUUGAAGGAUUAUGAUAUGAUCUUGCACUAUCACCUAGGUAAGUCUAAGGUGGUUGCUGAUGCUCUUAAUGGGAUGUCUAUGGGCAGUUUUUCACAUAUUUAGGAAGGAAAGAGAAAUUUGGUCAAGAAUAUUCAUCAUCUUACUAAUCUGGAGUCUGACUCUUAGACUCUAAGGAGGGAAGUUGGCUUAUCCAUGAGAUAGAUAAGCCAUCCCUAUGUGCAGAAGUUAAGAAAAAUAGGCCAAAGAUUCUAUGUUGAUGCAGAUCAAGAGGGAUAUUGGUCAGCAAAAAGUUAAGGCAUUUGAGAUUGGAGGUAAUGAAAUAUUAAGAUACCAAGGUAGUUUAUGUGUUCCGGAUAUGGAUGGGUUGCGAGAAAGGAUUCUUGAUGAAGUUCAUACUUCCAAGUACAUUGUCCACCCCGGCUCCAUAAAAAUUUAUCAUGACCUGUAGGAGAUUUACUGGUGGAACAACAUGAAAAGAGAUGUUUAUAAGUUUAUGGCUAAGUUUUUGAACUAUCAACAAGUUAAGGUGGAGCAUUUAAGGACAUGUGGCACUUUCCAAGAUAUAGCUUUGCCACUAUGGAAAUGGGUGAUGAUCACCAUGGACUUUAUACAGGACUCUCGAAAUCAAUACCACACUAUUUGGGUGAUUGUGGACAAAAUGACCAAGUCUGCUCACUUUUUAUCAUUGAGCACAAAUUAUUCGGAAGAUGACUAUGCAAAGUUGUACAUUCAAGAAAUAAUUUGACUGCAUGCGCUCUAGAAUCCAUUAUAUCUGAUAGAGGUACUCAAUUUACUUCUCAGUUUUGGCGGUUUUUUUAGAAAGGUUUAGGUACCCAAGUGAACCUUAGCACUGGCUUCCACCCUCAAGUGGAUGGCAAGCGAAAUGUACCAUUCAGACUAUAGAAGAUAUGUUGAGGGCUUACGUUAUUGACUUUAAGGGUAGUUGGGUGGAUCAUUUACCUCUAAUAGAAUUUGCCUAUGAUAACAACUAUCACUCUAGCAUCCAAAUGGCUCCUUUUAAGGUUGUUUAUGGGAGAAGGUGUAGGUCACUGAUUGGUUGGUAUGAGGUGGGUGAAACCUGUUUAUUUAGACCUGACCUUGUUCAUCAGGCAAUGAAGAAAGUGAAAGUCAUUAGAGAGAGACUUAAGAUCACCCAAAGUCACUAAAAGUCUUAUGCCGAUGUUAGAAAAAGGAAGUUAGAAUUUGAGGUUGGAUAUUAUGUGUAUCUAAAGGUCUCCCCUAUAAAGGGAGUCAUGAGAUUGGGAAUGAAAGGAAAUCUUAGACAUCGAACAUAGGUCCUUACCAAAUUACAAAGAGAAUUGGUAAAGUGGUGUAUAAGCAAGAUUUACCUACAAGUUUAGCUUCAGUUCAUCCCAUAUUUCAUGUGUCAAUUCUUAAGAAAUAUGUUGGAGAUCAUUCACUUGUAUUUCCUGUUGAGGAGAUUAGUGUGAAAGAUUCUUUUUCGUAUGAGGAAGAACCCAUAGCUAUACUAUAUCAAUAAGUUUGGAAGUUAAGAACUAAAGAGAUCGCUUUGGUUAAAGUGUUGUGGAGGAAUCAGAAAGUUGAGGAAGCGACUUGGGAAGUAGAGAAUGAUAUGUGUGUGAGAUACCCAUCACUCUUUGAAUCAACGAAUGAUGAUAUAGAAGGUAUUGAUCUCUUAUCUUACUCAUUUUGGUUCUUGUAAGGCUUUAUAUCAUGCUUAACGUGGUUCGAACCUUCAUUCGGGGAUGAAUGAUCCCAAGGGGGAUAAUGUAACACCCUUAAAAUUUCAAACAUUUUAUUUUUGGCUUUAACACACUUGAAACAUCGAUCUUUUACUUAAAUUGUACCUUCGUAUUUUAAAGGGGUGUCUCAAAAGAGUUUUGGAAUUUUCAGGCAGGGCUCGAGGUAAUUUCAGACCCCAAAGGCAGUAAGCCUCUGUGAUAUCCCCAUGACGCGGAGGAUAAUAUCUGUGAUAGGGUCCAUGACACGGAGGAUAGCCUCCACAUUAAGGUUCGUGGCAUGGAGGCUAGCCUCUGUGAUAAGCUCCGUGCCGCGCUGCCUUGUAAUUUUCAAGCAGACGCUUAAGAUUAAGGAAGGGAUUUUUGGUCUUUCUCCUUUAUAACUCCUUUUCCAUGACUUAAAUCAUUCCUUAAACAUUAUAUCACCUCUGUAAAUCCCCAAAACAUUGUUCCAUAACAAAAAGGGAGAAACUACCUAGGGUUUAAGGAUUUUAAGCUUCAAGGAUCAAUUUUUCCAAGGUUCUCUUCAAUUUCAAGGUAUGUGGGACUAUCCUAAAUUCUCAUGGGUAUAAAUUUAUUGUUUUAACAAGCUUUAAAGAUAUGAAAUUUAUGUAUAUGUGAUGGGUUUUGGAAAUCAUCUGAAGAGCAUGCAUCAUGAACUCAUUUUGAUGCAAGUAUAUAUUUAUCAUGAGGUUUUUCCAUAAACUUGAGUUAUAAUCAUAUACAUAUAUGAUAUGAGAUUCAAAAAGUAAAUUAUGAGUAAUUUAUUAAAUUCCCUCUUCCAUGAUAGAAUUUAUGGUCUUAACAUGAUAUGGACUGUUCAAAUGUGUGAGCAAAAAUUGAGUUAAAUGUUUUACUAUCAUUUAUGGGUUUACAUUGCUCUAUGAUCCAAAUGAGAGUGCGUUCCUUGAUUAUAAAUGCUCAUUGUGUUAAAUGAAAGAAUUUUAAGUGAUAAAUGAAAGAAUUGGACACCAUGUGUUAGAGUCUUAAAAAGAGAGUUUUUUGCUUAAGUUUCAAAUACUUUUUGAAAUAAGUACUCUCAUGUGAUGUAAAGAAAUUCUUCUAGUGGUCACUUAAAUGUUUCUUGAAUUAGAAGAGCUAUGGACAUGAUAUAAUAUGGCUUGCAAGUAUAGGUAUGAUGAUACUUAUUACAAAAUGCCCUUAACAUGAAAACAGAGAAGGACUAAGCAAAGAGCGUAGUUUUAAACGGCUAAAAGUGGGUUUAAAGAGAAUUAGGUGGUUACUUGUAGAAGGCACGAUUUCAGAUAACGUAUUGCUCGACACCAUGUUUUAUCGAUGCGGGAAGUGAUUUUUUUCCUAAAAUAUAGAUUAUCACUGUAUACUUGUUUCUCACAAUUGUAUACUCAAACCAAACACUUUUACCCUUGCAGCAAACUCAGAUGGGGGGCUUGGCAGGCGAGUUAAUGUGGAUCCCAUAUAGCCCGUGGGAUAACAGACUUGUAGGGUGUACCAUCAAGCUCAGAAGUAAAGCAAAGAGUUGAGUCAGGAAUUACAAGAACGUUUAGAAACUCUUAAAUUAUGCCAAUGUGUUAUAUAUAUGUAUGUAUAUAUAUAUAUACAUACAUACAUACAUACAUACAUACAUACAUACAUAUAUAUAUAUAUAUAUAAUGCUAAAUUGAUUCCGCAAUGCUCUCAAUUAUUUUACAUGGAUUAUAUGUUAUUUUGGAUUAGUUUUGCAUACCAAUACACUGAUCCUUACAAUACAGGUUCUGAGGCACAGUCCAGUGGUCCUGCUCGGCAGUAGAUUUACCUCAGAUAGGAAGAGUUGGUAAGCCUCUCUUACUCCGGAAGGCAUUCUAUCCAUAUGUUAGUUUCAGUUAUUUUAUAGUCCAGUUGGGGGCCUUGUCCCGGCUUAGAUAGACUAGUAUGUUCAACUCAGUAGAGGCUUCGUAGGUUAGUUUAGAUUGGAUUUGGGUUUUCUUACAGAUUGUUGUCAUGAAUUAUUAAGUUUAACUAUGAAAUUUUCAUGUUUCAGUUUAUCCUCUGCAAUUUUAUUUCGUGUCAAUUAUGCUUGUGAUAGUAUGCUAAAGGGUCUAUCGGGCCCUUGUGGAUCGGGAUACCCAUUGCGGCCAGAGCCUCAACUCAGGUCGUGACAGUUAACUUUCGAAACCCUUUUUCGCUAUUUUUCAAACGAAGGAUCAAAAUGAGAUAUUCAAGGUUCCGAAAUCAAACCAACUCCGCCACUAAUCCAGAUUCGACAUUCCAAAUCAAUUGGCAUAGUCCAAAUUAUCAUCCGGCACUAGGAUCACGAGAUGUUAACCAAUAUCAACUAUUGACUCUUAAAUCCUCAAAAUAACCUUAAGUUCACCCAAAACCUUCCUGAAGGCCUUCGGAACUGUGUUAACCAUCCACACACACUAAAAUCAUGUGGUAAUUACAAGGAAGGAUAGAAUGGCCAAAACACAAAAAAUUUUAAAUAUCAUUUGAGGGUCAUUACACAUGCUUAAUUUAAAUUAUUGCUCUUACGGGGUUGAAGAUAUUUACAUUCGUGCAGUGACAUAAUAGAUAAACAUUGGCUACUAUAUCAAAUUCAAAGAGAUAAAUGAUUUAAAAUAUGUUAGAGAAGAAAAUUUAGAUUCUACGUGAUGUUUGAUUGAGUUUACUUUACUAGGAUUCUUUUUGAAAUUUAAGAAAGAGGACACACACAAGAACAAAAAAAAAUGAAAAAGGAUAGGAAAUAGAGGUUAUUCAAUUUAACUUUUACUAUCUUGUUAUUCGUGAUUAGCAGUUAAAAUUGUAACUAAUUGAUUUAAUGAUUUCAGUUUACUCUAACAUGUUUCAAAGAUUAGUUGUUGGGAUGGAGUCAGUUUAUUAUUAAAUACUGCUAGUAUGUGUCUUUUAGUUAAGAUACUAAAUAUUUUUGUGGAGGUUUAACAUAAGAAUAAUGGAAAUUAGCCAAAAGUUAAUUUUCAGAAGGAUUCGUUUUCCUUCUUUAGUUACUUGUUUUGGUUAUUUACUAGUGUCCAAUUCUUUAUGUAUUUAUUUUAAUCAUUGCAGUUUUUAAGUAAUUAGAUGUAAACCGUGAGUCUUUAAUUAGACUCUUUCAGAAAACGGUUUUGGGUCUAUACUAUGUUUAAGGCCUAACGUCAAUUAUAGAUGUGGUGCGGAUUUAUUGUACACCCCAUCACAAAAAAUGCGAGGGAGCGAUCGACUUACAGAUUAAUUUAUAAUACGUUGUGAAAUUGAAAGAAAAUAGAGGGAAACCCCAUUUGUAUGGGAGCAAGGCAAGUUGUGGACUAGUCUAAAACUCAUUGUAAAUUUAAGAGAAAAAAGUGAAAAGAGAGAAAUGAAUAAGAAAAUAGUCUCGAGUUUACAAGAGACGAACAAAUGUCUUUAACGCUAAAUAAACUUUAGGCUAGAUAAAUUUGAUUUCAAUUAAGAAUGCAGUUAUGCAUCUUUUGCGAUACGCUUAAUAACAAAAUAAAAAAAAUUCAAGGAUGCAGUUAUGCACCUUGACAAAAAUUGUCUUUAGAAAUCAAUUCAAAUUGAGACAUGUAUAGAGAGAUUAGUAUCGACGGUGCACUUGAGUUAAGAAGGUUAUAUGUCAAGGACUUAGAAUGCACUGAUGCAUCUAAGUUGAAACCAAUAAAAUAUUAAAAAAAUGACUUAAACCUACUACUUAAGUUUCUAUUAUUACAUAAAAUCCAAACUACCAAAAGUAAUUACAAAAAACCUUUUUUGACAUUUUCUCUCUUCAAACUUCAUAUAUCUCACAUACUCUCUUUUUUCUUAUGCUUAAUGCUCCUCAAAGAGUGGCUAAAAUCAAGGAACUUCAAUGUUUCCAAAAUUUUUCCAUUCUAUACACAACAAAAACUUCAAAAUUCAUCAGCUAUCAAUAUCAACAACAACAACAAACCCAGUGUAUUCCCACCUAGUGGGGUCUGGGGGGGUAAGAUGUACGCAGUCCAUACCUCUAUCUCUGAUGAAGUAGCAAGGCUGUUUCCGAAAGACCCCCGGAUCAAGGCACGAGAUACCACACAAACACAUAGUAAAGCACCAGCUAUCAAUAUCAAAGAUCUCAAUAAAGCAAUCAAAGUUUAAUUAAUGGAUCAUGCUACAAAAACUAUUGGUCCCAAUCAGCUCGCCUUCACUAUUCCACGAACAUUUGAGGAACACCAGUUCAAUCGGUCCACCAAAAGUUGGCAGCGAAGGUUGUUCAAAUUCCAAUCUAGUUCAUUGGGUUGGAUCCAAACCGGUUUGUUUCAUGGAAACUUGAGCCAGACCGGUCUAGUUCAGCUUUGAGCAACCACCAUAGUCAUCACAUGAUCGAUCAGUCUUGAAUUCAUUUUCAUAUCUUGAACCAGAUCUCAAAUUGCUCAACUAUUUAUAAUAUGAUACAUAACACAGAUAUGUAUAUUUAUAAGGUAAAGGGCUUUAUUGCUAAAUCUAUAUAUUUUUGUCAAUUUUCACAUUCUUAUACAUAGCUAUAAAGUAUCACUUGUUGUCAUUUCAACUUUAAUACAGAGAUUAGUUAUGUAUAUGGUUGCCGAAGUCGUUUGAGAUCUGUUGUUAUUUCACUCCUUUUUGAUAUCUGUUGUUAUUUCACUCCUUAUACAUAACAAUGUGAUGUAUAUGAAUGGUUUACUUCUAAUCUGAUACAUUUCAUAGUUAUGUAUAUUGAUUGGAGAUUCCUUGUUAUCAUGAUAUUUUUUCACUUCUGAUACAUAAUUAUGUUAUAUAUAUAUAUGAGUAUUCAUAUACAUAACAAUGGAAUGUUCAUCUUUUUGAGAAAUUUUUUAAAAGAAACAGAGCUUGAAAAAAUAAUAAAAUUUUGAUCAAAAAUACAAAAUCCGAUGUUGUUUGAUCGACUACAUUGAUUUGGUGUUUCAAAAUUUAAAAUUUAAAGUUGUUACUGAUUUUAAGGGAUUCAUUAAUCACACAUUAACAAGGUGCAAUCUUGUAUGAUUAUUAGACAUCAUUUAUUUCCUUAAAUAUAGGAAGUUAGUUCUAAUCACUCAAAGUUAGGAAAAACUUCUAAGUUAAUCAGUUUUCUCAAAGUUUUAUAAUUGACAUGUCCUAAACGUUCAUGCCAUAAUUCAUUUGACUCAAGCAAGUACGAAUAAGCAUCAAUUUUCUUUAUUUCAACAUCCAUUACAUCAAGUUUGAAAAGGCCCUCAUUGAGGUAGCCCCUUCCUACAUAUAUUUCAUUCUUGCUUAUUAUAAUUAUCUCCAAAACAAGCACGCACUUAAACUUGAUUUUAACAAUAAGUAUUGUCGACACUAAGUUCUUUCUAAUAGCAGAAACAUAGAGAACAUUGUUGAGAGUCAACAUCUUAUCGGAAGUCAUUUUUAGGAAUAUCUUCCCACUUUCUUCAACCUUGGCUGUUGCAUUAUUUUCCAUGAAGAUUAAUUCUUUGGGACCAGCGGUAUCAUAAGUAGCAAAAACUUUUUUGUUCGCACAAACAUGUCUAGUGGAUCAUGAAUCAAACCACCAUUCAUUUGGAUAUCUAACUAGAUUGCUUUCAGUGAUCAUAGCACACAGUUUUUCAAUCUUUUUCGUUGUUUCCAACAUGCUUAUUUGAUCUCUUUUCUUGUUCUUAUUUAUAACUUGACUACUUAGAGUUUUGUGGCCAACAUCACUAUUAUUGUAGUACUUGCCUUUGAACAUUUUCUUGUUCUGCUCUGUCUCUUGUCCAGAAGACUUCUUUAUCUUCUUAUUAUUUGGAGCAUCAUCCCUAAUAGAAUUUACAACCAUCAUUGAUGAUUUCUCAUUCAACUCAUUAUCAUCUUCUAUCUUGGGACGGUAACAAGAUCUUUCAAAUCAAACAAUUAAUUUUCAAUCAUUAUUUUAUUUUUAUUUUUAAAUAUGAGGAUCUAUACUUGUGAACAUUUACUUGAUAUCAUUUGCUGUCACUCUUUAAAGUUUACACUAAAAUAUUUUUUUGAUUCUCUGUCAUUUUCAUUUCUAGAGCAAUAUUUUAACGACUUAAUGACGCAACAUUGAUUGUCAUUGGGACAACACCAUUUACAACUGAAUUAAUUUCUUGAUCAGUUUCAUUCAUCAUUUUUCUGUCAAUCUUUGACAUACACCUUAGUAUUUAAGAAUGCUAACAACAAAAACUUUAAUCUUUAACCAACUUAUUUCUAGUCAAUGGUGAAGUUCUUAUAUUUUCAAAUCAUCAACCGAAUGAACUUUGAAACCUAACAAAGUUUUUAUGACAUCAAAUCAGAAUCAAAUUCAAAUAAAGUGAAAACCCACAGAUUUUAAACUCCAUAAAUCAAUAUAGAGAGUUUACCAAAUCAGUGAAGUUUUUAUAUUCUUCGAACCAAAUUUUCAUACUGAUUUCUCGGUGAAGUUCUUAUAUUCUAACCAAGGAGUAGAAAUCAAAAGAUUUUACUCUCCACAAAAUCAGACCCAAUACAGAUUAAUCAAGUACUUGAUUUAUAAAUGGUGGUAAAUUUUUUUUCUUUUUCACCAAACAAGCACAAUUUUUUUUUCUUUUUAAUUUCCUUAAGAUUGUUAUUUUUUCUCAGGUUUAGUAAAAUCUGUAUUUUUCAAUAAAAACUUCAAACACAUGUUCAAAUAAUCAUACGAACAAUCAAAUGAAGUUUAAACUUUGUAUUUACAACUUUGAACUUUUAACAAUAAGUUCAACCCAACUUAUUAACAUUAACAAAACGAAGUUCAAACUAUUUUGUGAAAAUAGCAAAACCAAAUGUUAAGAACUUCAACAAAAGUUCAACCAGCUAAUGAAAUAUCAAAAUGAUGUUUCAAGAACUUCAAACACAAGUUCAAACAGUUGAACAACUAUCAACAUGAAGCUCAAACUAUUUUCUAGAAAAUGGUAAAAGCAAUUUUAAGAAAAAGAGAUGAAACAGAAAGAUUCAAGUCCACUGAAUUCAUGGUGUGUCCUUAAGAAAAUUAUUUCCCUCUAGUACCCAAGGUUAUGGAAUAUAUCCUCUUAGGAUAAAAUGAAUCACUUCAACAGAAUAAUAGUACUUCAAAUUUUGUCGAACUAUGAACACACUCAAUGGCAACAAAUUAUAUUAGAGUUUUUUUCAAGUAAAAAGAGUGUUUUUCUUCAAAGUUUCAUGUCUAUACCUGAGGAAAAAUUCAGGAAUUUAUAGCCAUCAAGGUUUUGCUUCAUGAAGAGAAACAAUGGUUCAAAAAGGUACACCCCUUCAUGAAUGUAUAAUUCUUCGAAAAAGGUGAAACUCUUCAAAAAAAGUCACAACCCUUUGGAAAGGUCAUAAACGUCCAAUCCAAAAAGGUACCUAUUCAAAUUGCAUCAUUUCUCUUGGUGUCUUUCUGAAAAAAUACCUAUUCAUUUUCCAUUCAUACCUCUUAAAACCUCAAUAUUCAUUUCAUGAGCUUCUAUUUUUUCCUCCAAACAUUUCUUUUCUAGGGCUCUACCAUUAGUCAUAUUAUGGCCUAAUUUUCUGCAAGGACUGCAGAAUUUAGAAAUGUUUUCAUACUCUAGUUUAUGCUCCUAGCUUCCUAGAGGACUUUUAUCAUCCUCAGUUCCUACCCACGCUUUGUGAAUAAAAGUUUUGAGUAGAUCAGUCUCAACUCUUAGUUUAGCCAUGAUCAGUCUAUUCAUAAUUUUAGUAGAAAAUAUCAAGUUUGAAUGGAGUGCUUGCCUCUUCUACAAUUUGACGAAUAUAAUGCCAAUUUUGUAUAUGAAAUGAAAAAUCUGACAUUAGAAUUCAUACUGGAACUAUGGGUAAAUCACUCUAGCUUAAAGUAUGACAUCCAUUUUUAAGCGAAAUUUAAUGCUACCUCUACCUCAAUUACUCGCUUAUAUCUUCAUCAUUUGUGAAACUCAUAGAAAUGUUGAAAUUAUUGUAUACGCCGCUCUUGACAGAACCCUUGAGAUGGAAUUUCUCUAAAAAAUUUAGACCUAACUAUGUCAAUUCGGGGUCUAAUUUUCUGAAAUCUCCCCCCUAUUGUCUUUCUACAUUGAUUUGUCAUUAUACCAUAGUAAUCUUCCUCAAAAUCACGGUCGGCGUCCCAUUGUGAAUUGUUCUUCUAGCCUUCACCUUUUGUUACCACUAGUGAUUGGUGCCCAUAGCAAAACUAGGUGAACUAAUUAGUGUUAUAGCAUAGUUAUCACGAUCCGAACCAGGGCCUAGCCAUGAAGAGUAUCUCAAGCCCACCAUAGAUCAGAGACCACCCUUAUCGCCUAACCUCAUGAGCAUAAUGAUAAUAAUAAUGACAAUGCAAAAGUCAACUCAAAAUAGAAUAAAGAGAUGAAUAGAUACUCUAUGAAAUCUAGGAGUAAAUCAAUAUCCAACCAACCCACAUCUGUCCACAAAAGCCUCUAACAACUGAAUAUCAACCUAAGUUGGACAUGCCCCCGAUUGUAGCCAAAAAAGAACCUAAGACAUAGUCUAAAGCAUAGAAAAUAAACUAUGAAAUGACUGUAUUUCCAGAGAAUGGAAGCUCAGUACUUCAAUACAACUCCAUAGACGUGUUAAUCCACCUAACACUACACAUGGGUAAAAGAAGUAUCUCUGAACCCUAUAUUAUGAAACAAUAUAUCAUCCUAGGAUGGUUAGCAGGGUGAGCACUGGCAUGUAACGCAGGAAUAAGGGAUAAAAUAAUGUCAUGAUCAAAUCAGUCCAAAAUCAUUCAAAACCAUAUACACAUAUUCAUAUACACAUAUAUAUAAGAUGUCGGGAUAGGAAAUAAGGUUUAGUAUGAAAGUUAAAAUUAUUAACCUAGAUUGUGUAGCUUUAACCAUCAUAAGAGGCACCCCAUGGGCUAUAUGGGUCCGGCUUUCCCCACUGGAAGGGCCCCAAUGUAGUUAGCCACAUGAACCGGUGGUAUAAGGAAACCAGGGAAUACCCUCGACCCCACGCCAAUCCAGGAUACAAAUGUAUAUAAAUUGUGACACAUGCAUACGGUCAUUAAAACCAACCCCCACACUGGCAAACGUGGGUUUCUAGUAUCGAUCUCUAAGGACAUCCACCUUAACGGCGAGCUACACAAUUUCCUUUAAGCCCAAUUAAAAUAUUUACACAUUCUCAUUUAUUAAACCAAGAAUCAUCCAUUAAGGCACAUAUCAUUGGUAUUGUCAUACCAAUUAUGCUUGUAAGAUAAUAUAAUUAUGUCAUUCCUAUUAUCCAUCAACCUGGGGAAUGCUACGACCCACGUAAUUUAUCAAAUCAAUUUAGGGGGAUACUAUGACCCCCGUAGUUUCAAUUUUAAAUCAAAAUAUGGCCACCAAGACCUUUCCAAAAUAAUUUGUGUUCCAUUUAGCCAUUAAUGCAAUGUAAUAAUUUUAAAAGUGGUUUCAAUAUACAUAUAUCCAUAUUUCAAAAUCAAUUUAUAAAAAGGGGUUGAGGUUAAUACCAAUUCCAAACCAAAGUCAUCAAUUUGGGGGAAUGCCAUGUCCCCCAUUCCAAUCCACCAUGUCCAUGCACUCAAUUAGUUCAAAACCAUCAAUUCAAAGCAUGAAUAAUUUACAAAAUCAUGGAAAAAGCAAUUCAACCAAAUAAUAUCCAAAAGCCCUCAACCCAAUUUCAAAGCCGACAAUUAAAUUCAUAUGGGUAACAAUUAAACACAAGCUUUUAACAAAAUAAGUUAUAGGGAAGAGAUCCAUUCCUUUUUUACUAAAGAAAUUCGAAUAAAAGCUUGAAUCCUUAACUUUGAAGCUUGAAUCCUAGCUUAAAAUUGAUAUGAAUACUUGUAUUUAGUUUCCAUGUCUUUGAUGAUGAAAUUGGGGAGAAAACAUUGAGAAGAAACUUGAAUUUGAAGCCUUAGAAGUUGAAUUUUGGAGAACCCUUAUUUAGUAUUCUUGAGAAUUUGGGAUGAGAGAGAUUUUAUAUUUGGGGUUAUGGGAUGAUGAAUUCACGUUAGUAUUAGUUAUAGGUUGAUUUAGAACGUAAAUGACUAGUUUUUCCUCGAAAAACUAAAGAUAAAUGCGGGCUUUAGCGUCUCUAGAAAUAGGGGCAUGCCACGCCCUUAUCGUGCACCUUCACUAAUUUCUCACGAAAAUGCUCAUUACUUUUCGCUUGGGUAUCGAAUUAAGGAGAAAUCGAUGGAGUUGGAAAGAGAACUCAAUUAUCUUUAAUUUGAUGGGUCUUGAGCUCCAAAAUUACAUAUAUUUCAGAAGUUAUGCACGUUCAAAAUUGACUCUUGUAGGAUAAAUACUAAAAGUUGGUCGAUAACAAAAGUUCUUAACUCAACUUUGCUGUAAGUAUUUUCUAUGAAUAUUUUUUACCUCGAAAGUAUUUUUCACACUAGAAAAAUGAUCAUGAUACUUAUAUUUACAUGGAAAUCAUUGGUUUUGAGUUUAUACAUGUAGGAACAACGGUUCGAAUUCUAUCCCUAAAAUGCGGGGUGCUACACUACUAAACCUUGUUAUCCAAGUAAGGAAGAGGUCGCUGACGAUCUCAUAGAGGGAGUAGAAAAGUAAGAGUCUGGAUUUAUCGAACUAGUAUCUCAACACGUGCACGUAUAUGUCGAAUCAUGUAAUAUUUUUUAAUAAGUAGAAUAUUAAACUGUAACUUAGUCAAUUUUUUGAUUCAGUAGUUAUCUUUAAUGUAAAUAUAGAUAGAUAAUCUCCAAAAACUACUAAGAAUAAAAAGAUUUUGAAGAAUUAUGAAGCAAAAUGAUGGAAUUAAGAACACUAUUUUUCAAUGCAAUGUCAACACAAGUUCCUUUUAUUUUAAAAUAAUACAUAAUUGAUAUUUCAAUUAACUUACCAAUAAUAAUUAUAUUAUUUUUACGAGAAAAUGGUCAAAUACCCCUCUAACCUAUAGGUCAAAUUUUAAUUACACACUUAUACUUCACGGGGGUCCCAUGACCCCAUUAAACUUUUUAUUUUCUUUAUUAUUUGACCCUUAAAUGUUGACUGUCAUAGAAGGUGAAAACACCUCCUCUAGGCACAUAAAAUCUAAUAUCCAACACCUCAUUUUUUUAAAAAAAAAAUGUACACGUGGCAAUCCAAAUCAACCCAUAUUAAGGAUUCUAUGUAUUUUUUAUUUUUCAAUUAAAUAUCUCUAAUUUCUCAACCAUUUUAUCCUAAAAUAAUCUUUCUUCUUCUUGUAUUUUCCUCCAUUUUUUCAAAGAUUGAAGGUUGGAUUUAGUUGUCAAAGCUUUUGACUGUAAUUUCCACUCAAAAACUUAGAGAUUUUAAGUCUGUAAUCUUCUUCAAUUUCAAAUUUAGGACUUGAAGUAGAGUCCAUGUGGGGCUAUGCAACAAUAUCCAAGCUUUACACUUGCAGCUGUAUUGACACCACCAUUUAUGUCCAAAUUUCCCAACUUCAUUUUUUACCUCAAUGAAUGGCACCAAUGAUUUUCAUUUUCGCCAAUUUGAUAAGAUGAAAUUAGGUCUUCUAGGUCGAAUCUUUGGCCUCAAAUAAUGGUCUCUGUUUGUAGAAAUCUGAAUGUAUAUUGAAAUUGACACCUAUUCUCACAAUCAAAUAUUUCAUAUCUAGGAUCUCUUCUCUGUAGAUGGGAAUUAAGCUUUGUAACAAAUUUUUUCAAGAAGCUAAAAAAAUAGAGAAAAUAUACAUUAGAGGCUAGCCCAAAUGCCUCUAAUGUUUGGAUAAUAUCAUGUGAAAAUAUAUACAAAAAAUAUAAAUCAACAAUAAUCUUGAAAGUUUUCAUGCAUCUAAAAGUGAGUUAAAGAAAAAGUUGUUCUUCCCAAAAGGAAAGGUGAAGAAGAAAGGUGGAAAAGUGGGGUCCACUUGAUUAGAAUUAAGAAGGAAAAAUAAAAGAGAAAAAAAGUGGGCCAAGCGUGUGUAGUCAAACAAGUGCAUAUAUCUAAUUUAGGUAGACAUGUCAUCAUUUAAGGGCCAAAUAAUAAAGAAACUAGAAAGUUUGGGGGGGCGGGGGGCGGGGGGGGAGGUCAUAGGACCCCCGUGAAGUAUAAGUGUGUAGUUAAGGUUUAACCUUAGGUUAGAGGGGUAUUUGACGAUUUUAUCUUAUUUUCACUGAUACCAGUACAGAAAUUAAAUUGGUCUAUAGUUUGUUUCACUAUACAAAGAAGGGUACUAAUCUUUUCAGACUGUAAAUUUUUAUUACUUAUUAGACGUUAAUUUUCAUUAUUUCAUUUAGUCCUCUUCAUUUGUACAUUGUUAAUUCUUCUUCCUCUUCAACUAUAGUUGCAUCAACAUUUUUAAGUUCAUGUAUAUCUUGAGUAAUUAAAAUUUUUGCGAACAUUUUACUUUUCUUAUUAUAAAGAAGUGAAUUUCUUCAUCUUCUUUUGACAUCAACUUGAAACAAUACGUAGAUUUUUACUUCUAUAACAUUAAAGAUAUUGCAUAUGUAAAAAAAGAACUUUUUGUUUCAGAAAAGCUUCUCCUCAUUUGAUUGAAAACACCUUCUUUUUAAAUAAAAUAGCUCUACAUUUUGUUCAUCUUCACAAAAAAGUACACCAUGACUUACAAAAGUGAUUUACUACUCCCUUUUUAGAUUUGAGGCUAUCAAACUAUUCUAAUAAAGAUGAUGUAAAUGAAAAAAGAUGCACUUUGUCACUUAAACAUAUCAACAUUAAAUCAUACACCAAGUGAACAGUCAGUUGAUACUACUCAAAAAUAGCAAAGGCAGCAGUAUCUCUCAAGGUGGCGGAUCCUAAUUGAAUACACUUUCAGACAAUUAAUAUACUAGUAUACUGAGGAUACUAGUAAUGCUUUAAUUUUGAAAAAAUUAGAGAAACUAGCAUACAUAAUACCUUAAUUACAAUAAAUAGCAACACUUUUUUAAAAUUACAAGUUAUAGCAAACGUAACAAUAGUUUAACCAUUAUAUUAAAAAACGCAUGGAUUUCACCCACUUUUUUACCUUUCCCUAUUUUCACUCAACUUUUUUCAAUUCCCUCCCAUAUUUCACUCCACUUUUUUCAAUUCCCCCUUAUAUUUCACUCCACUUUUUUAAAUUAUUUUUUCUUUUUUUCAAAAUUGUGAUCCAUCAAAUAAAGUAAGUUGAUAUUUACAGUAUUUAUUGUUGAAUACUCAUUCCGAUCACAUCAGCAGCAGGUACAAAAUUGCUCUUUUUCUUCUUCAUCUUUAUGUAGAGAAACAACUCAAUGUGGUUGUUCAAAAGCAUAAAAUUGUCUGUUUAAGAUUCUCAAAAUUAUCUUCACUGUCCCACCACACAAUAAUUGUUGCUACAAAGAUGGAUGUAACGGAUUUACUAUUAUUGACUUUAAUAUUGGGUUUAAUAAUUUUAAUAAUGUUCCAUCAAAAAAGAUGGAAGAGGAAGAAUCUGGGUUUCCGGUUGGUGGUGGUUUUGCUAAUGAAGAGAGGCUUGUUGUGGCGGAGUGCAGUAGCGUAGAUUUUGUGAAAUGCUCUGACAAAUGCAUUGAUUUUUAUUUUUUCGUAUUUUUUUCUUCAUCCAUCUUCUUCAUUUUUCUUUUUUCUUUUUUUUGGGGGGGGUGAUUUUUUUAGUAUAUUCCCACAUAGUGGGGUCUAGGGAGGGUAGA
rnacentral:lncRNA from 1 species